UUUUUUUUUUUGUACAUGGAGAAAUUUUUCACCCACUCCAUCUUCCUAUUUUUAAAAUAGAACCCAGUUUAACCUUGUUUACAUUGAGUCCUGCUUCACAAUCAUCUACUUGGGGCUUGGGAUAAUAAAACUCUGAUGUGGUAUGGUAGCUAAGUACUGUUAUGGCACAAAAUCUUGAAAAGAUCAUUGGCAUAUUGGCAAAUUUGAUAAAACUGUUGAGAACUUGAGUGGUAAGGUCCCAGCUGAAACAAAUUUGUGAGAGGUAGCUUUUAGUUUCUGAAACUGACAAUACUGGUACUUAACUCCACAUAGAAUAGAACCUUUGUUCUUGUAUGUUAAAUCUAGUAGCCUUUUAUUUGUCUUCCAAUGCCUGUAAACUUGCAUUUCAUUUGUGCUUGAGAACUGUCUUUUAAACAUCUGUACUUUUUUAUAUUUAUAUAUUUAUUUACUGCUUAGAAUAUUGUCUCAUUCCCUCUCCACUGCGAAAUGCAAAUUAAGCAGUGCUAACAUAUUUUCCUAGAGCUGGUCAGUAAUGUAGGGCAUUGAUACAGAUGUUCAUUUUACAAGCAAGAAUACUGGAGGGACUUCUGAUUUUUUUUAAAAAAAUUGCCCCUAGAUUACGGUUUGUGAUGAGGUUGUGUUUGUGUGCAUGUACUUCAGGACAUAUUGCGGUUCCAUGCAGUUUACUGGCCAGCCAUGUUGAUGUCAGCAGGGAUAAGUGUUCCUGAUGCAGUUUUUGGUCAUGGCUUCUUGACAAAGGUGAAUCUUACUUAUUUUGAUGUUUCUGUUUCCAUUUCUACAGCCCUGGCAACAAUAUAACACUGUACCAUAAGUAAAUAAUAAUGAGGGAAAUAGUAAUCAUUGUGUAUAAAGCCAAAGAGAUUAUAACAAUUUGAGGAUGGCCUAUUUCUUUAAACUUCAUUUCUGUAAGAAAGGUAGCUUCAUCGAAUAACUUUUACUUCAUGCACCAUUGCCUUCUAUUUUCGAAAUUGUAGGAUGGCAUGAAGAUGGGGAAGUCAUUAGGCAACACUCUUGAACCAAAAGAUCUGGUAGAAAGAUUUGGUGGUGAUGCUGUUAGGUACUUCUUCUUGCGUGAAGUAGAAUUCGGCAAUGAUGGGGACUAUUCAGAAGAACGCUUUAUCAAUAUCGUCAAUGCUCACCUUGCUAACACAAUUGGUAUUUCUACUCAAGUAUCUUUGUUUCUGUAACAUGUGUAUACUCUUUAUGUGUGCUAAAAUUUAUUGUGCCUUUUGCCUUCUUUCUUCACACAGUGUUCCUUAUUUGUGUUAACUAUGCAUCUUUAUGUGUUAAUAAUGAUAUCAUUUUAUUCAUUUGAAUAGGAAACCUCCUUAACCGCACACUUGGGCUUCUAAAAAAGAACUGUAAAUCCACACUAGCGGUUGACUCAAUUGCUGCAGUGGAUGGAGUACCAUUCAGAGAAAAUGUAGAAAACCUGGUAAGUAGGUCUAUCAGAGGAGUGGAGGAUUUAACGAUAAACCAUGAGUUUUGGUUGAAUGUAGAGUCUGAUAUGUUUGAAACAGGCUGCAGAAAGACUUAGUAAAUGUAAGUUCUAAAUAUAAAUACAUAUAGAAAUUUGUUUUAUAAGUGAAAUAAUUCCAUAUUAUACGUCAGAAAAGCUAAAACUUAAUAGUAAUGAGUUGCUCUCUAGUUUACAAUACCAUAUGGUUGGUUUCUACUCACAUAAUCUUUUUGGUAUACAUCAAGACUACAGUAAAUGUGUAAUGCUCUUGUAAGUUUUAUUUCUUAGCAUAUGGCAAAUAAAGACAACAACCAUUGUCAUACUAGGUAAACUAGUUAUAAUUUAUGGAUUAAUUGUUCAUCCUGUUAAUAUGUGGUGAAGGUUUUUUUUCUUUGUAUUGACACUAUGGGUUGCCAAUCAUGUGUUGGUUUGAUCUGUUGUCCGGACCCAUGAUACAUCUGGAUGUUUCAGACCAUCGUCUACUAUUAUAUGCGUAAUAAAUACCACAUAUUUGUAUGUCCUGUUUUUUUAUUUGAGCGAAUAUUUGUAUGUCCUGUUGUGUAUCUGUUAGCAUCACAGGGAAAAUUAUUUAUACAGGUGGACAAGGCAAAGCACCAUUAUGAAAAUCUUUUGCUGUCAUCAGCAUGUGAAUCUGUUUUAGAGAUUGGUAACCUUGGAAACUUGUACAUCGAUGAGCAAGCACCAUGGUCCUGUUUCAAGAAAGGGGGUGAGAGUACUGAAAAAGCUGCAAAGGUGACGAUUUGAAACUACUGUUUAAGAUAAUUUUUUAAUGAUCUAAAUAAUGCUAUUUGAUGUGAGACAUUGAGCUACUCAUUAACUGACUACGUUAUUUGUUCUGUUGUUAAAUAUUUGGAUGAAUUAAUGUAUAUUUAUUAUUUCAUCUGUUCUUGGGCAAGUUAUGCUACACAUAUUUAUGAAAUUACACUUAUCUCACAGUAUUGAUGUUCGAAAGUCGAGUGGCAUUAUAGUUAUGACCUGCUCUCUUAAUUCUGUCUCCUCUUAUCUACAGGAUCUUGUAAUUAUUUUAGAGACAAUGAGAAUAAUUGCAAUUGCACUAUCUCCUAUCACCCCAAGCCUUUCGCUGAGGAUUUAUACACAGCUUGGUUUCACUGAAGACCAAUUUAGGGUAUUGAGAUGGGUAUGUUCUAUCGAAUAUAUGCUCUGAUGUCAUUUCCAUUUCUUUGCAAUAUUUUAUGGCCAUCCUCCGAAAUACAAUCUAACAUCCUCAUAAUGCAAAAGGUCAAAAGCAUUUACUUCAAAUGUGCCUCAAUAUUCGUCCUGAGCAUGUAAUUUUUGUCAAUUAUGUUCUUAGGAGGAUACGAAAUGGGGAGGCUUAAAAGCAGGCCAGGUAAUGAUGGAGCCAAAGCCAGUCUUUGCAAGGAUAGAAACUGAGACGGAAGCUGAAGCUCAAGCAACUUCAAAGGCUGCAAAAGGUGGGAAGAAGAAAGCACAAAGUAAAGGUCUCGUAGAAGCAUAAAAUCACUGAUGGAGUAGCCUACUUGUUCCUAGCCAAAAAAAGUCACAUAUUUUAUUGUGUAGAUAACAGGAAAUCACCUGCAAUUCAAAAGCUCUGUCAAGGCAUGGAGCAUCGUGAGAUAACUGACUUUCAGUUUUCUUAUCCCAUGGGUUCCAGUCUAAUGUAGUACAACUUUUUUCCCAUUUGAAUGAGCCAGCAAGAGUCUUGUCGGAUUACAACAUUUUUUUCCUGCUUUGGGAGGUUUGGCUCAGAGAGAGGAGGGCAGAAGAGAGAGGCUGAAACGAAGAAGAUAAUCUAGUGGCUCAGCUUGGGGCUGGAGGCGACUCUAGCGCGUCAAAACCAUUGCCACCUGCGCCCUCCAUCCAGAACAAAAGUCAGUCUAGUUUUCUACUAGGUCAAAAAAAAGUUUGAAACGGAGGGAGUAGGACCUUAUCUGUUCUAGCAAAUCUUUGAUGAAGUAUAGAACAACAAAUAUAACCAAAUUCAAAACAUGGAACUCCCAAUUUCUUCAAAGAUGUCAUGUAUGGACUAUACACGUCAGCAAUCAUGCAGCACCAGACACAAAAGGCAGCCGGCAACCAAGCGGAAGGACAUGUAGCAGCAGGUAACUCACAGCAACACAGUUCAGGAAAGGGACUUGGACCACAUUGGCACAUCAAACACCUGAUAUAUGUACUACAUGCAAUUCACAUACCUCAGCCAUGUUCAAUUCUACAACGAAGGAAAUGAUACAUGGAUAAAAACAAAGUUGCAGUUGUUGAAGUCAUCCCUGAAAUUAGAAAACUGAUCGCAAGCCAGUAUUGCUAAAUUCUGAAGUUUGUAAAUGGAGGAUCAAAUGCUAUACAAAUCAAAAUAAAAUCAUGUAAAUGCAGACAGAACUAAUCUGUCCUUGACAGUUACAGAUGAUGCUAGUUCUCAUUUCAAUAGCGUAUUCUUGGGUCUUAAGAAAACGAAAAAUAUGCAAAAGAACAUGCAAAGUAAUAAUGUCGAUUUACUGGGGGAAACCGUCGAAAUAGCUCAAUGCUAAAAAAUUUUGUUUGGCUCAUGGUGGAGGAGCCUUACAAGCAUCGCUUCCGGGAGUGGAUGGUGGUGCAUGACCAAUCAUUCCUAGCCGAGCACCAACGGAUUUAUCGUGAGAUCUAGAACACCACUAUAUCAAUAUGAGGUAUAUAGAGGAGUUCAACAAGUGAUGAUGAAGAAUGCACGUGGCUUAGAGACGGAACCAACAACUCCUAACAGGGGCACAUGCCCCCACUUGGAUUCUUAAAUAUAAGUUAAACUUGUGGAUGCCAAUUUAUGUUGACAUGGGCGCCACAACCAAUGCUUGCAGCUAGCAACCACGUCGUCGUUGCCGAGGUUAUGUUAGCCGAGUUGCCGAAUAGUAUAGACCAGUGAUAGGCAAGUCCGUUCACCCAUUAAAAAAAUAAGGGAAUUGUGGUACAGGGAAUUAUGCACAUUAAUGUAUGCGCGAAGGUUAAGUUUGUCUUUAAUAACACCAAAACGUUGUUGUCUGAUAACACAUACAAUGAAUCAUGAUCAUUGUUAAGAAAACGGAAGGCGGCCAUUCUAAAUGGUUGCACAGCAUUGACUUAGCGUAACAAUUAGACUUUGCUCUAUGUUAUUAUCUCACGUUUUUUUAUUUUGAUGUCAAAUGAUGUGAUUGUUUCAUUCAUCAUGUUGCAACGAAAUAAUUGGCCACCACCAUUUUAGAGUAAUGUCCAGUCCUAUGAUAAAAUUUACCCAAUAAUUCUAAAAACAUGAUAUGAGAGGAGUCUUUGUCAUGACCAAGUUGGCUCAAUAUAAUUAUCUGAACGUGUACCGAUGUGUGGUAUACCCCUGGUCGUAAGGUUUUUUUUCUUGAAAAGGACUGGGGAAAACUCUUUUCCUUAUAAUUUUUCUUAUCCUAAUAAAAUUUAAACCAAAGCUUUUGCUUCCCUUUCAGGGAAAAAAUAUUAGGGGAGCGGAGAGAACCACCGUUAUUUUUAUGCACGUAUGUGAAUAUUUGCACCCAUCAUGUGGGCGAAAAGUAAACAUUCAGUUACAAUUGUGUCCAUGUUUCAAAAUAAAAUCCUUGAUACUCGAUUAUUUGAAGAGUCAAUGCGAAUAACGUGGUGGAUGUCUUGGGACCUCCAAUAUUAAACUUCCGAACGAUCAACACAAAAUUAGCAUUGAUAUUCAUGUCCACCAAGAUCCAAUGUGGGCAAAUAUUUUACCUAUUAACCAAUGUUUAUUGGGGUUGUCACCAAUGCUUUGAAUUUUCGCACUCCGAUCCCGUCGUCGCAGGCGGCAAGCACGCCCCUGCCCCGCGCUGACCAUAGAAUUCUCACUUCCCUUUAGGCCUUUACUGCCACCAUUCUAAGCUUACAUUCCCUUGGUUGCAAUUUUCGUUAAGGUUCACUCGCUGACAGCUGGGCCCGCAGCUGCCCUGCCCCCUCCGUUAUCUUUCCCAGCCGCACGAGCGCGCUUGCACAGUUCGGCGACGGACCAGCCGGAGGAGAAGCGUCUUGGCCGAGCGCACGGCCUAGCCGAGCAUGCGGCCUGGGCGAGAGCCCGCGGGUGCCGGCUGCCGGGGGGCGCAAGCGGCCUCCAGGCCUCCAGGGCGUGCGUGUCGAGCCGAGGCCUGGCCGAGCACGGCCGGCACGCGGCUAAGCAAGCGACGACCACCCUCCGUGCCGCCCGUUCGUUUGCUAGCAUGCAUUGUCCUGCAAAGGAUUUGCUGGCCGAGCACGGCCGGCACGCGGCUAAGCAAGCGAUGAAGGCCGCAACGUCGCCGAGCUCGACCCGGAGAUACGCGAAGGAUCCGCCGGCCACGGCCCACGGGGAUAUCUUGAUGGCGAACUCGGUGUAGCAGAACACCGAGAGCGUGGCGGACAGGCCGGAGGCGGACGCCACCUAGGAGAGCACGAUGGUCGAUAGCCAGGCCGGCGUGGUCGUGCGCCCCCUGGCCCGUGAGCACAAUGCCGGCGCCGAUGACGGAGCCGAAGCACCAGAUGAGGCACCAGCGCAUCUCGUUCUCGCUGCGCCGGCGCAGAGCGCGCGCCGAGCUCGUCAGCGUCCGUGUGGAGCGGCCAGCAAAGCGGUCAUGGAGGCGGGCCGGGGUCGUCGUGCUCGUGCCAGCGCCGUGCGGUAGGUGCCCCAGCUCGCGAACGAUUUCGAGGGCAUUGAGACCUCGACUCUCGAGGGCAUCCAUCAACAAUGCUACCCAAUUCUGGACAGCAAAUAUUAGGGACACGAUUUGGGGAUUCGAACUGAUAGAAGAGGAAUCAGGGACUAGGAAUGAUAAAUUAGUCAAUACCGCCCGAUUUGUAGUUUAUAUUACACACAAGAUUUACAAUAUUUAGCACUAAAUACAUACUCCCUCCAUCACAAAAUACUAUUUACUUUGGAUUUUCUAUUUCCAAAACUUUUGAUAUUGAUCUAGAUGUAUGUAUGUCUAGAUACGUAGCAAAAGCUAUGUAUGUAGAAAAGUCAAAACGAAUAGUAAUUUGAGAUGGAGGGAGUACAUUGUUCUUAAUCAACCAAAGGAUUCAAUGGUACAUUAGACCUUGUGUCAUGUUUGUACUAUGCAAGAUCAUGCUGGGUCUUACGACAAUCGUGGCUUUGGAAGGACUAUAUAAGAUAAAGAAUGGUGAGUUGGUCCCUUUCUCUGAACAUGAGCUUCUCAACUGUGACUCGCUUCGUAUGAAUUUUUCAUUACAAAAUUAUGACUUACAUGAAGUGUUGUAUUAUUUUAAAAAACACAUAGCCACAUAGACAAGACAGAGCUUGUAGGAAGACAAGGGGGCAUGGCCCCCUCAUGUUCCAUCUAUACUCUUGUACACCUAUAUAUUAAAUUAGUUUUGAGAUUACAUUUAUUCAUGCGUAAAAUUGUUGUGGUUAUUGUGGCCAACCACCACUGGUACGGAUAAUGUUUAGAUGGCUAUCCGUUCUGGACUGCAAAGAACUAGGCCCAAUUAAGAUGAAGGUGGUUAUUAAAAAAUAAUCCAAAGAAUUAGGCCUAAUUAAGAUGAAGGUGGUUAUUAAAAAAUCCAUGAAGAUAGUGGUUAGAUGAUGUAUCAGGAGGCAUGUCACACGCCACCUUGGGGCCUACGCGGCCUAUCUAUUAGGCACGCGUUUCCUAUUAUACCGUUUAUGGUUUGUUGGUUGUCAUAUAUUUAUGAAUUGUUGUAUGCAUAGGAGUUUUAUCGUAUUAAGUGAACACAAACUGUAAAUGUCAAACUGCAAUAUCAAGGAGUGUUAAAUUGUUUUUCAUGAUCAACACAUAGUUGUAAUAAAGUGUUUUAUUGUAUGCUAAGGAGUAAUGAUCGGUUAAUCUUCAUACCUUAGUUCUAGCAAAGCAUUGCAGUGCUACUCUGCCCACUUCCAAAUAACCCUGUUAAAUUUGAAGCCACACGGUUAUAUGCCGUGCAUUUUACAUAUAAUAUGGGCAAAUACCCUUCUUAAAAAAAAAUAUGGGCAAAUACCGUAGUAGGGGACUGGAGCUCCUCACCACCUUCCAUUCCACCAAUCCACUAUCUUUUCCACACAGUACCACACGAGUCCUGGAAUGGAAGCGGAAGCAGUCCGAUGACGCCGUCGUCGUGGUACCAUACGUGCUGGCUUCCUGGGCCGAGCCAAUAGACCAUGGCCGCGCCGCGGCGCACACGCACAUCAGCACAUGCCGCGCGGCUUGACCCGGCGGCAUGGCCACUGCGCUCGCGGGCGCCGGGGCCCCAGGGCGCAGCCGCAGGGCCAGUUUCGCGCUCUUUUCUUACUUCGGCCUUGUUUACUUGUCAAUUUGGGAGUGGUAAAAUUGACAUUCUACUAUAAAUGCGACACUGUAGCAUUUCGUUUGUAUUUGUGAAUUAUUGUCUAAAUAUUGACUAAUUAGGCUCAAAAGAUUCGUCUCGCAAAGUACAACAAAACUGUGCAAUUAGUUUUUGAUUUCGUCUACAUUUAGUACUCCAUACAGGUACCGCAAGUUUGAUGUGAUGGGGAAUCUUCUUUUUGCAUAGUGCCAAAGUUGGGAGUUAGGGGUAAAGUAAACAAGGGCUUCUUCUUGACCACUCGGAUUUACUGCGCCGCAAGCGACGACCGUCGACCGGGUAGUGGGCACGGGCGCACGAGGCACCUGCUUUUGAGGCAGCCGAAAGGCUCCGCGCUGCACUGACGCCAGUCUGCACUCUGCAUCCCGUAGCUGAGCCUCGGCAUGCAAGCCAGAAAGGUGGGCUCCUCCUCCCGGCUUUUGGACACGCCAACCCAGCGCCGCAUCACUAGAAAUGGUUUAGGUCCGGUUUGAUUUGUCCGCACCCGAAUGUUUAGAUAUUAAUUAGAAGUAUUAAAUGUAGACUAUUUACAAAAACUCAUUACAUAAGUGGAGGCUAAACGGCGAGAUGAAUCUAUUAAACCUAAUUAGUUCAUGAUUUGACAAUGUGUUGCUACAGUAAAUAUUUGCUAAUGAUGGAUUAAUUAGGUUUAAUAGAUUCGUCUCGCCAGCCUCCACUUAUAUAAUGAGUUUUAGAAAUAGUCUACGUUUAAUACUCCUAAUUAGUAUCUAAAAUAUUCGAUGUGACAUGUGCUAAAAAUAAGCAAAAGUAACGGGGCCUUAAUCUAGUGUGCCACCCUUCCCGGCUAGGUGGUUAGUAUUGCCUAAUUGUAGUUGUAGGUUAGGGUUGUGGGUUUCUGCUUAAAACAACAAGUUUCCUGAAUUCCUGUCUAAUGUAAUGUCACCAAUCAUGGAAGCAGUACACUGUGAUGGUUGUGUCACGGAGGGGCAAAUCCCUUUCCGUAAUUGGCAAGAGCCCAGAGCCCUUGUGCAGGAAUUCAGAGAUGCGGAGUGCAGAGGCACCGGCCUCGUGCGGUCGUGCCUAGCCGCUUUCUUCCGUGAUGGCCGGGAAGUUUGUUGAAUUCGAGUAAAUCGAAGUAUACAAGGGUAUGCGAAUGCAUUUGGUUUAAAGACGUUAAACUCUAGUUCAAAUCGAUCGAACCUUCUUAUUGCACGAUUAAAACACAAGGAAUUGAACCACAAGAAUAGGUGAGCAAUUCGUUUAGAAAAAAGGACUAGGUGAGCAAUUCGCCUGUACGUAGACGAAAACCGAUGGAGUCGACGGAAUACGUGCACGCUAGCUAUGGCGGUUUUUGCAAUGGAGGUGAGGGGAUAGCUGGAUCGGUAUUUGUAAUGAAACAAAUUACAAGGAAUCAAACUCACCUAGCGUACUUCUAAGUUCUAACUAUGCAUCGUAUGUUCCUGCUAAAACAACUCGUUAUAUGAAGCCAUGGAACAAGUACACUGUGAUGGUCGCAUUACACAGGAGCAAUCAUCCUUUCCGUUAGUGGCAAAAGCUCUUGUGCUGUUUUCCUUUUCUUUUUUGAGGCAAAAAAGCUCUUUGUGGUGUUGUGCAGGAAUCCAGGGCCACAGAGGCUCAUGCCUAGGCGCUUUCUUCCGUAAUGGCCGGGAAGCUUAUUGAUUUUGAGCACUACUAGCAGUACUCUUCUUGUCCAGCGUGUGUUCUCCCGCCAAUGUUUUCCAAGCUUCUCCGAACCAGAGUUCUCUCAGGUACCAUACUGUUUCGCGUAAAAAUUUCUACAAAGUUUGUGCGCUUGAACUGUUCGCCUCAGCUUAUCAGCCGGCUUAUCAGCCACCGAACAGUGUUUUUCCCUCACAACAAAUCAGUUGUUUCAGCUUUUCAGCCGGUUUAUAAGUUCAGUCAAACAGACCCCAAAUUCGCCGCGACUUAUAUACUUGCAUAUUGUUAUAAUGCUAUUAGAUUAGAUGAUCGUUCCUGUGCAGUAGCAGAUAAAAGGGUGCCUAAUUUCCUAGUGACCGAUGUUUUAGACUGUUAAGCAAGUGUUAGGGAAACGAGACACGCAGACAUUAGCCAGAGAAACGAAGCCGGAGAGAGACGAAACGGAAGAAGAGUAGAAGACGAACACGACUAUACAACGACUCAGCAGCUGCAGCAGCAGACUGCCGCUUCCGCCCUGCACAAUAAAUCCAAGAGGCGCCGGAGGGACGGGCGCAGGCGCGCCGCAGUCGUCAUACUCCCCGAGACGCCGCAUUGGAUGCUCCCUCUACCCACUCUCGCCUCUGCCCCUCGCCAUUUUCGCUGAACCAAGCAGCAUUCCCUGGUUCUUGGUAUCCUCCUCCGCAAUCUCUGGUUCUGGAGAGGUAGCGCGGGAGCAAGGCUUUGCUUGGUUUCUGAAGAUGGGGCAGAGAAAGAAAAGCCAUGGUUCGUGAGGCAUCCGGGUUCCCUGCUUCUUGGUAGCCCUCGGCAUUGCCGUCCUAUCGUUCUUGGGGUGCAGGCUGGGGUUAAUCCGGCCAUGAGGAAGCACGGGUGGCAGCUGCCCUACCACCCUCUCCAGGUACGGUCCGCUCAGCGCGCGGGGUUGUACUUUCAGUUUCCAUUUUCCUCGCGAUGUUUUUGCUGUUCUUGCCACUCACGCAUUCUAUUGCUGUGCUCCGGAACCGACGAGCUGCAGGUGGUGGCUAUUGCCGUGUUCUCCGCACUGGGUUUCGCCUUCUAUGUCUUCUUCGUGCCGUUCGUGGGGACAAAGCCUUUCCAGAUUGUGGCCAUGGCUAUCUACACUCCACUGGUGAGGUCCCUGUCCUACUUGAGAGAUUAAAUUCACUAUUACGCAUAGAUCUGGCAUUACGUAUUUGUUUCGCUGGUCGCCCUCUCGCGUUCUACAGUUCUGGGUACUCAGACCAUCAGGCAUUGCCGUGCGUUGUAUUGUUUGAAACUUCUACCUUUAAUACAAAGAUACUGCGUAUUCGAGAAAAAAAAGUACUGGUAGAGAAUGUCAUCUGCUUUGCAUGUAUCUGUUGUAAAAGAAUGACGAUAUGACGUUGGUUAGAGACUAUAGUUAGUCACUGGGUGAUUGAACAAUUUUAUCUGGAGAAUGAUGAAUGCCUUCUUUUUGCAGAUUACAUGUGUUGUUGUGUUAUACAUAUGGUGUGCCGCAACAAAUCCUGGAGACCCGGGCAUUUUCAGUUCAACAAAGGAUUUGAAGUUACAUAAGCAUGAAAAGCACUCCAAUGUAAAUUCAGAUCAGGGAAUUAGUCAUGGAGGAAGGCCAUUAAGUGAGGCUUUUGGUACUGCUGAUAACAGUGAGAAGCUGAGCAGCAUGCUUGAGAGGAAGGAUUCACCCUCUUGGCCCAGAUUUUCUGGAAUACUUUGCUUGGUUUGUUUCCCAUUCUCAUACCUUUGCAAGCGAUGCCUCCAUUCAGAUAAUGAACCUUCAGAACAGAACAUAUGUGAAGAGGGCAUGUUUUUCUGCAGCCUAUGCGAAGCAGAGGUAUUGUUAACUAGUCCUUUUCCUAUUCAUAGUAUUGAGCUCAUAGUACAUUGCUAUUGGGCUGUUCAGUACAAACAAGUCUUGUUCAUGACAUGUUAUCAGAUGGGUUUUGUUUUGGAUUCUUUGUCUCAGACGUCAAUGAUUAAAAUGCGUUGCAAUUGCGCACUUCAUGCUGCUCUGUUUCAUCGUAUCGAGCUCAUACCUGAACAUGCUGUUCUGUUUCUUCAAGUUGUACUGGUCUGCGCACUGCACUACUAACUUAGGUCACCUACAAAGUAUCCAAAAAUUUAGUGGAAUUUGUAUAUUAAGUUUCACAUUUACUUUCAGCAAUUUAUGCUUACCCUGGCAUGUGCUUAUGUGGAGGGCAGGUAGGCAGUGCCUUCAUGUUUAGACCUUAAAUUUUGCUAAUAUUCAGUUUGAUUUUCAGUAGAGCGUUGACAGACUGCAAUGAAUCUAAUGUAUUAACUUUGUGAGGGCAACCCGUGAAAAAUUCAGAAAUUACUGUAACUAACUAGACUGAAUUCAGAGAAACAGGACGGCAAGUAGUUUGAAUCAAAUGUUCAUGUGUUUCCAGUUUCGUAAAUGAAUCCAUUUGUGAUGUAUAUGUUGCAACUUGGAAGUGUCUUCCAGUACCAUUAUUUGAGUGUCUUCCAGUUAUACAAGUAAAAUUGUCUUUCCAUCUGUCUAAUUACGCACUGAAUUUGUAAUUUGGUUAUAGAUGAAUGGAAAGUAUGGUGUUCUGAUGCAUUUGUGAUCUUGGUUUGUGACUUAGUAUCUUCAACGUUUGUGAUAUUUUAUAAAUAAUAGCAUAAGUUGUUUCCUGUUUGAAUUUGGAUGCCAUUGCGGGAUUUUGAAGAAUAGUAUUAUGCAGGUUUUAAAGAACAGUAAGCAUUGCAGAGUGUGUGACAAGUGUGUUGAUGGCUUUGACCACCAUUGCAGAGUAAGAUCUGUUUUUCUUAUUAUUUUCCCUGAUACUCAGAAAAGUGGUUCCUCAUGAGAAUUCUGGUCUUAUUUACUCUCAAUUCCUAAUGGGUAGUAACAAGUUUCACUGCUGCCAUUGUUCUUUUGUAGUGGCUUAAUAAUUGCAUAGGGAAAAGGAACUACAAAGGGUUCUUUGUUCUAAUGGCUUCUGCGGUUAUCCUAGUAAGUGUUGGUCUCUUGGGAACUGACAAGAAUUGGAAUUAAAGAGCAUUAUGCCAUUGAUACGUACACCUUAUAAUGACCCUUGUGUUAUUGCAUUAUCCUCCAGCAUCUGGGGCACUGUUUGUAGUUAGCAAUGUUGUUAUGUCUACUUUCUAUUCUGGUAGAUCAUUGACAGGUCUCCAUGAUCUGUACAAUUUGGUCCAGCUUGUGAUGCAGUGGUUGUCAGGAGCUCUUGUGUUGAUUCUCUGUAUUGUUAAGAGAGGAGAUUUCUCCAGGCAGAUUGUCACAAAGUUGGGAAGCAGCUUCUCAACUGUAGCUUUUUUAAUUGUUGUGGUGAGUUCAAUCAAAUUUUUUUUUUCCUUGUCUAAUACGUGGGCACUGCAUUAAAGUUCAGAGAUUCUGUUGGUGUCACUAAAAUGACACUGCUAUCCUUGAAAAACCGUUACAUGGUUGGUGAUAUGAUGUUUUAUUUUUGCAGGCAACUUGCACCAUUUUAGCAAUGGUUGCGACCAUACCACUCGCUCAACUUUUAUGCUUCCAUAUUCUUCUUAUCAAGAAGGUAAGUUGCUCUUGACGUUUAAUUGAAGACAGCUUGAAUAAUAGCAUACGAUGGCAACAACAGACAUGCUUGCAAUUUCAUAUUUGGCCCUCCUUAAUCUUGUUUACCCUGCUUCCAGAGUUAUAUAUGCUUGGUCACUACUAUUUUGCAUUGUUUCUUGGUCUACUGCAUGGAUAAUGUAAUGAAGCUCAAAUUAACUAUUCCCUUAAUUAGAAACAAAAAACACUCUUCCUUUGUCCCGGUGAUGAUAGCACAGAGCCGAUUGAAUUUUCUGCUGAAAUAAGUCAGUCGCAUACUACAAUAGGUUGCUAUAAUUGGUCGGAGAGUUUUGCAAGAAAAGUAGAAAACUAUGUGCAUUUGAACUUGUUCUUUUUUCCAUAUAGCUUGAGGUUAAAUAUUUAUAUAUCUUACCCAUUGUGUUCAGGGAAUUAGCACAUAUGAUUACAUCAUAGCUUUGAGGGAGCAGGAGGAUCAACAAGAGGUUCCUGGACAUCAAAGUCCACAGAUGUCUAUUAUAAGCUCUGUUACUGGAUUUAGCACAGCCAGUUCUUUUGGACCACUUCAUCGUGGUUCAUGGUGCACACCACCACGAUUAUUCCUAGAAGACCAGGUAUGUGAUAAUGGAUCAUUUCUGUCAAAACCUGAUGUAACAGAUAGGAUAAAGGUCCUGGAAGUCCUAAAGACAACACAACUUGAUAUGCCUCUAAUGAUAGAUCAAACGUUAGAAUCUUGCAUGUGCUGCCUCUUUAACAAGCUAAUUAUGCUCAUUUUUUUGUAUUUCUGAUGUAUUCGAGAAAAAAUAUGUAUUUCUGAUAUAAAGCUAGUUGAAACUGAAUAACUGAUUAGUAUCAAUAUGUGAAGCUGGCUGCUUAGAUUAUGCCAUCUGAUAUUCCAGCACUUGAACAUGCAUACGCUCCCUCGAGUUAUCAUGAAUAGUACAAUACGCUUCUUUUUUCCCCCACAAACAAGUAGCAUCAAUUAUCCUACUCCCAUCUUUAGAAGAAGAAAAAAAGAAAUUGUAACCAUGCAGCACCCAUUAUCGUACUCCCAUCUUUAAUUGUCGAUGCUUAUUGCUUGCUCUAUUCUUUCACAGUUUGAUGUUGUUCCUCCAGAGAUCGGCAUGUCACAGAAUUCAGGCAGUAAGAAAAUGAAAGAAGAGGAAGUAGGAAGGAGAAAACCUGGACCAGUGAAAAUCAGUCCUUGGACACUGGCACGCCUUAAUGCGGAGGAAGUUUCUAAAGCAGCUGCAGAGGCUAGGAAGAAAUCCAAAAUCCUGAAGCCAAUUGCAAAAUAUGAUGCUUCGGACAAUGGCAGUAAACCAGAUCAUAAGCUCAGCAACAAGAGACGACCAGACAGAAGAGGUUUCCCCGCUGAACUUUCUCUUGACCCUCUUGCAACUCUAUCUGCAAGUGGCAACGAAAGCAAUUUCAGUGAUGCAGCCAUGGAAAUCUCGGGCAGUUUAGCCCCAUUACAGCUUGAAGCGAGAAGCGCUUUCCAACCGAGUACUGCAGGAUCCGCCAGAAACAUUGUUUCGUCACCUGAAAGCAGCUUUGACUCGCCUGAUCUCCACCCCUUCCGCAUUUCUUCAUCCACAGCUGAAGAGAUGCAGGGAGUCAUAUCACAUUCAGCUCACAAGGGCAUUGAGUUCACAAGAUCAUCCAGCGAUGGGUAUGAAGCAUCAGGAGGGGAAGAUAGUGACUGCAUCCCAUCAAGAAUCGUGCACAGAUCGUCAAAUUGGGACAAUGUCAUUCUGAAUGCUGGUCAGGGAGGCCCUGCAGUUGAUCUGCACAUGCAAUCAUCUGAAGGGUUUGUUACUAACUUGAAGUGAAGCUAGCUUCCAGGCCGUCUCUGAUUUGCGAGUCUCUGAUUUGCGAAUCAUAUGAAACUGCUGGUGUUGACAGUUUCCGGCCUUAGGAUUCGUUUAGGUGCUUACUUUAUCUGAUUAUAUGUGGGGGAUUAGAAUUUAGAUUAAUUCUAGGUGCUAAGUUUUUCAGGUUUCAUGUCUGUAAAACGGUCUUGGUCGCUGGUUUAGCAUUCAAUUGUCAUUUUGGCAAAAUGUGAAUGUGAGGAUUAGUCUUUGUCUAAAUUUCUUGCUGUGCAGUCGGACCAUCUUGAACAAUCGAACUCGUUCUUCAGUUUUUUUUUUCUUUUUUGAAUCAUGGAGAGAUGAUUCCGCCUGGUGCCGCCGCACUUUUCAGGCCUAUUGGGCCACAGCCGUCACCGAGGGAGACUCCUACUUGGAGCUGUCAGUCGCUUCCUCGCUUCAGACCUUCAGUCGGUGAUGGGUAGGGUCGAGUGAUGUAAAGCAAAGCAGAAAUGCAAUGCUCACGGCUGCAUGUGUAGUGUGAUUUUUGCCUAAGAAGCACCCAGCCACGCAGGAUACAACACAGUGCUCUGCCAGUUCAUACCAACAGGGCAAGCUUAAGAGUUUCCUCGAUCCAUUCAUUUUUCAUGGGGUGAAUAUGCAUCCUGGUCUGUGGUCUUCACGAAACCAUCGAGUUGGAUUUAGUCUGGGGCUAUAAUUUACAAAGAACAAUCCUAUAAUAGGGAACUACAGCACAUAAGAGAAAUAAGGACCAGACAGACGCAAGCAUAGCCAUUUUGCUACUGCCACUAAAAAACAUCAUGUGCUAGUUACUACGCCACAAGCAACACACAGCAAAAAGGAUGCUAGACCGGAACCCGCUUUCCUCUGUAGCGGUCAAGGAACUGCAGGCAAGGGAAAUUGGGGUUGUCAGAAUGUGCAACAGGCCAAGCUUCUAUCUCAGGAACAGAUGAAGAACGUUAUGUGUCGUGAGGUCCUUACCGAUGUCACAAACGGUUGUUGAAAUAUCCAGCCAAUGAUAGGAAUCCUCUGCAAGAACACUACAAGUGUUGGCCAGAAUCCACUGCAAUGGGAUCCAAGUCAGUGUCCAGGUACAAGCAAAUUUUCUUUCAGGAACGAUUAGAAUUCUGGAAGAAACAAAUUGAUUUCGUGGCAUUUAAUCUGGAAGAAACAAAUUGAUUUUGUGGCAUUUAAUCUUUUUUGAGACCGUGUCUCAGCAAGUUGCAAGAAUUUUAAAAAAACACAGAAAAAGAAUCCAACCUGAAGAGUACAAUAAAGCCAUAUGCCUCUAAGAGCAUGCCGAAAAAGGGCCACCCGAUGAGGACUAGGAAAAAGCCAACACCAAAUGAGAUUGUACCCUGUUUAUUACAACAGCUGAUUAGAUAUUAGUCGUGUUUUCUAGUUAGUCAUGUUUAUGGGCAACAGCUAUGGAAAAAACAGCGAUUGAUAACCUUGUAAUUCUUAGGCUUGGUGAAGAAUUGCAUAGUUGAUUUUAGACCAAUUGUCAAACCCAAUCCUGACAGGAAAAGAAUCUGAAAUGGUAUGAUGAGAAAAGAUUAACCCUAGGCUCAGUAAGAUAACUUAGAUCUUCAUAAAAUUCAAAGGAACAAUACAAAACAGACGUUAACCUACAUUGCCCAUUGCGAUGAGCCCCUUGUCAAAGAAGAAAAUUAUUCCCAGAAAGGAGAAGAAUAUUCCAAAACCUGUCAGGCCAAGCCCAAUCUCUGUCCAAGAUGAAAAUCAGUAGUCGGAAUCACUGAGUGGGAGGAACAAACUGUAAUAUCUAAAUCGGUGAAUAUUCUUACAACACCAUAUGACAAGACAGGGAAUGAUGCUCUAUAACAAUACAAAAGAUUUUUCAAGCAAAAAUUUUUCACCAUGCUUUGAAUGUUGAACACUAUAAGUGUGGCACUGAGGACAGCUCCCUAUCCUAAGGUGGCUGAAUUUUACAUAAUUUUUUUAUACAGCCACAACACUCAAAAGGUGGCAUUUUAAACACAAUGAUUCUACUAAGGUUCCCGAAAAAUUGCUAUAACCCAGCCAGAGCAAGCUGGUUUCUAAGUGGCUGUUGACCAAGAUUAGCCGAUGGUUGAGUAUCUGUUCCUUAUUUGCUAUGGCCAAUAAAGGACAGGUACAGUGGUGUCACCCAAUCAGAACGAGCAUAGAGUCACAGACCUUACAGCAGUAUCACAUCUGGUGCUGUUUUCAACUAAAUAAUCCAAGUACCAUUCAGAGUUGCAGAGGUCAACCAGCAGCCCAGCGCUGAAGUUAUUUGUGUAAUAAGGUAAUGGAAUAGGCCUAACCAGAAGAAACUCUUAGAUUUUCACUCUGUAGAUCUUCACCCAAUUGGUACAGUUGGCCUAUAUUUCCAUUUAUUGAACCAACUCAGUUCAGAUUAGAUUAACCACAGUAACAAAUUUCUAGGGUAUCACACAUGUUACCUAGGGUUGAAUGCAUCCCUGUACUAGCUCUUUAUAAUAAACAUCCCCAACCCACCCUUCAAGAAAAGGACUGAAAUGAAGAAACAACCCCUGAUGCAAUAACUCUUAAUAUUAGAACUACUGGUUAAGUGAUGUUGCACAUAUCACACAAGCACAUAGUACAUGAUAUACCCUAAUGUAUCAUAGUCGACACACCAAAACUACUGUUUACGUGAUAUGGCAAGUGUUGCAUUUUAGUGCAAGCAUGUUAAGGUCAGAAGCAGAAACAAAGUAGAUAUAGCAAAGCAUAUACACAUUUACUGCACAGCAGUACAGUACAAGCAAUCGAUGCUCCUAUCAGAGACAAAUGGAACAAAAACUGGAAGACAAUUUGACAAGAAUGGUGACGUGUACAUACUCUUGAGGUCAUUCAUCUCGAAGGAAACCAUCUUGUUUUGCAAUGACACCGCAGAGAUCAGGGCAAAAGACUGCAACAGCGCGAAGUAUAAAAUUAGGCAUAGUUUGUGCAAACAGAGAUAGAACCGAAUAUGAAGUACUAACAGAGCUUCAGAGUCGGAGCUCAGAAGAAGAUCCGAUCCCUGCCCGAGUCAAUAGGCACUAGGCUUGAUCCCUGCCCGAGUCAAUAGGCACUAGGAGGAAGAAGAUCAUGUUUUAAGGGUAAGGCACGGGGCUAAUCGCCAAUAAUUUUUGCAAAAACAUAGAAUUUAUAGUAGGUAAAAUCAUGGUCAGAUCCGAAUACAAAUACCAUACGUUAGGGGUUUGGGUGUUCGAUUUCGAGCAGCAGGAAGGGAAGGGAGGGGAAUGGGCGGGCAUACCCUUGUCGGAUGCUCGUCGCCGGCAAAGCGCCCGACGAAGAACUGGCGGGCGGCGCCACUCGCCCUGUCGUCGCCGCUAGGAAAGGAAGGCCGAGACCGAGAGAGAGAGAAGGCGUGCGUGGCAGCGUAGCGUGGGAGAGAGAAGAGAGAGAGAGAGAGAGAGAGAGAGAGAGAGAGAGAGAGAGAGAGAGCGCCCGGCGGACGGGAGUACGGGACAGGCCCACGGCCCGCGUUCAGGUUUGGCUAGCGCGCGAGGCCUGCUUAAUUUCUUUUUCGUCCUCCUCUCAAAAAAAAUUUCCGUCUUCUUCUUUCUUUCACUUCUUCCUUUUUAUUCCAUCCCGUUCUUUUAAUAAUUAUAAUAAUUAAUUAAUUCAUAUAUAUAAAUAUAUAUGCCUUUCGACAAUUUGGAAUGUUUACUUAGCAUUUUGUGGAAGAUAUUUCAACAAUAAUUAACAUAUGUCCAGCGUUUCAUGUUAAAAAUGUUGAAAUUGUAGUCUCAAAAUGCUGAAAUUUUAAAUUCCAAAUGUUGAGAUGGUACAUUAAAAUUUUAUUACUUUAAAAAUCUAUUAAAAUUUAAAAAAAUCUAGGUCAACAUUCUAGAAUAGCUGGUUGAACAUUUUACAAGAAAUAGUUGUGUUGAAGCCAUUGAUUUCAUUUGGUCCAGCAUUCACGAUUGUGCAUUUUAUAAGAACACCGAUGUUCAUUUUCAUUGAUUUCAUUAGUAAAAAAUAGUUGUGUUCAAGCCAUUGGCUCAACAUUCACGAUUUAUAAGAAAAAAUGUUUAUUUUACUACUAUGUACAAAGCACUUUGUUAGAUUAAUCCCGUAUACAGAAUAUCAACAUUUUACUUCCCCUAACAUUCAAAUUGUGAAUUCAUUGUAUAGUACAAUUGUUAUUUUUUUCCAUUUUAUCAUAAGUACACUUUAUGUUUUGAGAUCCGAUGUUAUAAAAACAUGUAUGACUUAAUUAUUAAAAAACAUUUUGGUAAUCUUUUAUGAUAUAACAAAUAGUGAGGGUAGUAAAAUGCACCACAUAUUCCAGAAACCACCUAGAAGGUUGUUGUAGGUUAAUAUGAAAGGAAGGAUGAGAAAAUUGCAUAUUUGCCCUCACUUUGACCUCCAACUACACAUUUGCCUCUCUCUCUGUUUUUUUUUUACUUUGCGUUACUGCCCCUGCUUCGACGAAGUCAAUGCACUGUUGCCCCUUAUUUUGCCUACUUUGACAGAAAAAUUGGUAAAACUAAAACAACAAAAGCAUAGUCAAACGAUGCAAUGCAAAAGUUGAAAAAAGAAAGAUGUUAAACGUGUAGUUAAAGAUCAAAGAUGGGAUAUAAUUGCAAAUGGUGCAAGAAAGAUCAGUAGUAAGCCAGUAAAGUUCUUUUGAUCUUUUGCGCCCGUUGGUACAAGGGUACUCUAGUUUUUUUUAUAAGCAUAAAAGAUUUGCGUUUCAAUUGAAAAAAAUUCAAAAUUUACAAGUCAUUGUACUGGCACAACGGCCAAAGGUAAAGGUUUCUUGCACCAUUCCCGGAGUCUCUCUGUCCCGCUCCUUUCCCCCCUGCUCAGUUGCUCUACCAAGUCGGGCAACCCCGUCUGCCCUCGCCUGAUCACCUCUGCCUCGCCUCGAAUCCCCCUCCUUUCCCCUAUCUUCACCUCACCAGCUCACCUCACCGGCGUGCGGCGUUGAAGCCAGCCUGACCCAUGGGGGUUUCCUCACGCACCCAGCUCCUCCUCCUCCUCGCGAUCUCGUCGGUUCUCGCCUUCAACCACGCAGCGGCUGCCGGCGCCGUCUUCGAGGUACGCCGCAAGUUACCGCUCCACUGUGGCGGGGGAGGUUGCCAUUACGCGGAGCACGUGGAGCACGAUGCCCGUCGCCAAGGUCGCCGCCUCUCUCCCGGCACAAAUUUCCCACUCGGCGGCAGCCCGGCAACAGAAACUGGGUAAAGUAAAAACCCCACGUGCACGCCGAAUUUUUGGUACGGCUAUCUAGGGCACUUCCAUGGGUGUGGUAAUCUGAUCUCUGGGAUGCGGCGUUGCAGUCUGUACUUCGCUGAGCUCACAAUUGGGAAGCCGCCGAAGGCAUACGGCAUGGAGGUGGACACCGGCAGCGGCAGCGCCCUGGUGAACUGCGUCACCCGCGACUCCUGUCCCCGCGAGGACAUCAGUGGGGUAUAGCUCUCUCCAUCCUGCUGUAGCAGAAAUUGUAUGGCUUGAUGUACUUAAUAAACGCUACUGAAAAAAUUAGUAGGAUGGAACCGCCUUUCAACCAAUCAAUACAACCUCGUAGAGAAGCUUUGGCUAAAACUCUAGCAGUUUCUUGAAGCUUGCUUUAGAUAUUUAGAAUCUUACUCCCUCCGUCCCAAAAUAUAGCUACAUUUAGCUUUUUCAAAAGUCAAAUCUUUUUAACUUUGACCAAUAAUACCUCUAAAAAUAAUUUAUUUCAAAUAAAAAAGAUUUCAUAUUAUAAUAGUUGGUUUCAUGAUAAAUCUACUAACAUAAUUUUUAUGCUAUUAGUCUCUUUGAUUAUUUCUCUAUUCGCAGUCAAAGUUGAAAAUAUUUGACUUGAAAAAAAUCUAAAUGUAGCUAAAUUCUGGGACGGAGGGAGUACCUAUUUGAGUACAGGGCGUUGCUCAGAGUGUUGGCAGCAUUGUGGAGAGAUUGCCAUAAUUUGAUUGUGUUGUACUAGCUUUAUGAUAUCUCGUCAAGAUAUAAGUUAGAAAUGGAUGUGAUAUGAACUAAAGAGUAAGAAAUGUGGCAACGGUGAUCCUUGUUAAGUUACCAACUGAUCUGUGAAAACAAAUUUCAAAAUAGGAUUACCACAACAAUAUAUGUCGUUGUUGACGAUGCAACUAACUAGAACUGCCGUGCUAUGUAUCUAUGUGUUGUAACUACUUCUAGAUAUAUAGGCAUGCUGGUUACUAUUUUUUAAUAUAAACACUGCAGUUGUUCUAACAAAAUGUUUGAUCUUACAGAUGGCCUGAGGAGUAACCACACAAUAUAUUUGUGACAUCAGCCAGUACGCAGUUGUGAUAGCCUAAACUACACUACCGGUUGGUGGCUAGAACAAGUACUGUUUUAUGCUUUUGACAUUAUAAUUAGUACGGUUUGUGGCUUCAACAAUACGUAGCAUUAGUACCGGUUUGAACCUUGCCCCAACUGUUGAACUGGUAUUGAUGCUACCAUCUGUAGAGGUUCUUGCACAACUGGUUCGAUCUGAUAGGCAGUGUAGUAGUGUGGAUGGCUGAACAGCUUUAGCGUUCUAGUUUUUCGUUUCUGCUGCUGUCGGUGUUAGUUAGGUCUAAUUACCACUACUAAUGUUGUUCCGUGUUCAGCUGGCAGCAACUGGGGAAGCAAGCCUCAGAUUUUGCCCUUUGUUUGGACACUUCCUAUGGUGCUGGGGUUGUUGCGACUGGAAAUAUAGUGUGUCCCGCAAUUCUGAAGACCAGCUUGGUGUCCAACAGGUAUGUCAUCUACUCAUCUUGAGUAUAGGGUUGACAUAGUUUAGUGACUGGCGUUUAGGAUGGAUUUUGAUUUCUACAUCAGUUAGGAGCCACAGUUAGGAUUUUGACUAACAUCUUUGGUUAGCAUGUACUACUGUUUCAGAAGUGAUUCAUCCUUUUUGAAAAAAAUACAUGUAGGCUACACUACGUUGUGAAUAUGAAAUCAGUAUCAGUUGCUGGCACUACACUAGACCUGCCCAGAAAUACUUAUUAUGGCGAAGGGAAAAGUGUUGCCAUUGACAUCGGGACGACAUUGACGUAUCUGCCGGAGAAGGUUUACAAUGCCAUGAUGAUUGAGGUAAAAAAGAAUACUUUUGCAUCAAUCUUCAUGCUGAAAAGAAAUGUCCUGAUCGAUUUCUUUUUGACCUUGCAGAUUUUUGAUAAACACCAAGGCACCCUUUUCUAUGACAUCCAGAACCUUCUUUAUAUCAAACAUUAUGGAAGGUAUGCAACGCUUUUAGUUAAUUUAUGCUAGCAUGCUGUAGUUCUAGAAUUCUGAUUUUUUGUAAUCUUUCUGUAGAGUGGAUGAUGUGUUUCCUGAAAUCACCUUACAUUUUGAAGGCGGCCUUGCAUUGAACAUUUAUCCACACGAUUACCUUUUAAAUAAUGGGGUAACAUCUUUUUUUCCUAGCUUUGGUAAUAUUGCACCUUGAUGUAACUAGUCAUUAUAUGGUUAAGAUUGCAUUUUAUUCCGGACAGAGUGAUUGGUACUUUGUGGGGCUGCGAAAUGGAAGAUCUCAACCUGUUAAUUUAAGAGACAUGGUGAUUCUAGGAGGGUGGACACUAUUUGUCACUAUAUCGUUCCUUGUUUGCUCCAUAUCCAUUUUUUUGAAUCUAAUGACACUAAACCUUCUUUUUAGAUAUGGCCUUUUCAAAUAAGCUUGUCGUCUUCGACUUGGAAAACGAAGCUGUCGGAUGGAUGGACUACAAAUGUGAGUUUCUCCACCUAAACUUUCCACUUUCGAUCAUUACAAAGUUUGGCUUUCAAUUGAGGUUUGUUAUAGUUACUUUUCAAAAAAAAAUGUUAAUUUCUCCAACCUCCGACCUGGCACAUCUCCGAAUCAGUCUCAUGUACGGUUUAUUUGGAUACAGGCUCCUCCGGCAUUAAUCUUGAAGAUGAGUGAAAAGUUGAGAGCCAGACUUCAAUGGUCCCGGUUGUUAGUUCAGUGAUGCAGGGUGGCUAGGCCGCAGUGAGACUGAGAGAACUCUGUUUGAGAACACUAUCGUAUCUGUACUGACAGUCUGAUGUGGCAACAAUAGCAGUGAGUUGAGUGAGGCGUGCUUAAUGCUCUUUGAAUUCUUUUAUUUGAGAAUGCGAGGAUGCGUAUAUUUCAUUAAAAAUAAGCUAGUGUCAUAAAAUGACUAGAAGCAACCUAAAGCGAAAGCUUGGAAUUAAGACUUGAACUAGGACCUAAGCAGUAAGGAGUAAGGCAACAAAAAGGUACCUAUUUGCAGUAAGCAGUAAGGUAACAAAAAACCACCUAUUUUACAAAAAUGCAUGUUCAUCCAUUUUUUGAAAAGAACAGCAAUAAUUGCCAAUAGGACAGCUAGAGGACCAUAAACACGUUUUGUUCUAUGUUCAAUUGUUUCCUACUGUUAAUCUAUAACAUAGCAACCGCAACCUCGUGAGCCAAUGAUGGACCAAAUCUCCAGAAUGAACCUGCAACCUGCCAUGAGAAGAUCUAAUGUCACAAUUUCUUGAUUGCAUAAAGCACAGGCCCAUUAUUUGGUAGGUUAUGCUGCUGGAAUAUUUCAGAAGUCCAAUAGCUGCCCGAAUAUUUGACAGAAUAGGGGGGUGUUACAUCAUCUCAUCAGCAUGGAAUAGUUGUCCCACGCAUCUUUAUGUUCAGCAUUCCGGAAGCCCCAGCAAAUGCUCUUUGAAUUCAUACAUAUAAUCCAGCCAUUCAGCUUGAACGAAGAUAGAUACAGCAGCGAGGCCACACUUCAACGGGUAGUGGUGUCAGGCAGACAAAUUGCAAUCAAUAAUAAUCCAUAGAUGCCACUGCCAGGUUGAUUUUGCACCUGAUUCCUACUGGACUACACGAUUACAUUUCAAACUCAACGAUCAGAGUUCAGAACGAAAAUGUGGCUGUAAACGCGCUUGGUAAUUCAGACCCGUUCGGCCUCAGGGCAUUGCUCGAGGCUAGCAGAUAGAGACCAAUGCUGCAUUGAUCUGCAAAUCUUAGGGACAGAUAUCCCGGGUGUAUCUUGACACGCAUCACAGCAGACGAACGGAACAUAAUCCUUGCUCAGAGACACAAAUUGCAGGUAAAACACAGCACGCACUAAAGAAAGCUAUUCAUCGAUCGAAGGACAGGAACUGCAUAGAUGCAGACCAAAGCCACAGGCUACAUCAGCCUUCACACCAAUUCCAGAUGCAGGAAAAAUAGAAAACGCAAUGGCUGCCCGGGGCAGCGCUCACGCCGCCUCGCCCUCAGCCGCGGCGGGGGCGGCCUCCUCCGACGGCGCCUCUGCCUUGGCGUCCGCGGCGCGGGACUUGACGAAGUCGAGGAGGCGGCGGCUGACCUCCUUGGAGUAGAACUGCAGCGCCUCGAUCCCCUCCUCCACGGAUGCGGCGGCCCCGCCUGUGGCGGCCGCGGCGUCGAAGGCCUCGGCCUCGAUGGCGCGCGCCGCGGGCUCGGCGUCGGCGGCCGGCACGGCGCCGUAGCGCUUGCAGAGGAUGGUGUCCCCCGCGAGCGUCUCCACCAGGCGCCGCACCACGGCGUCCCGCGUGCGCUGCGUCGGCGGCCAGAUGCUGAACGAGAACGCGGCGGCGGACUGGUCGCCGGGGGCCGAGGGGGCCGGGGCCGGCGCGGCGGCGAGCUCGUCGGUGGCCAUUGGCGUGGAAGCUUCUGGAAGCUGGAAACCCUAGGGAGGGAUGGGUAUGGACGGAGGCGGGGGGAAUGGGGAGCUCGAUCCGUUCGGUACUGGGCUGCGGCCUGCGGGGAUUUAAAAGCGGUGGCGUGGCUUCGGUGACGCGUCCUUGUAAUUGAGGAUUUGUUCGGGUAUUGCGGUGGCUUCAAGAAAGGGAAGUGCGAUGCGAUGGCAAUCGACAACGAAACGGCCAGAGCCAUUAUCGAUCGGUUGGUGGCUCCAACUCUACUCAUUAUCAGAUCGGGUGGUGGCGAGGCUUCGAUGCUCGUUUCGUUUGCUUUGACCAAUCGUUUCCCCUUUUUUUUCUCACGGUUUGAAUUUGAAUUCCAACGUUCAGAUCAGAUCGUCGUAAAUGGUAGGAAAUCGGGAUGAAUGCGGGUAAAUAUAUGGAUUCGGUGAGUUGGCAAUGUAUAGUCGUGGAUAUUCCUUUUCAAUUUGAGUUUUGAAUUUCAAGUUUUCAACGUUACGUUCCAUCCGGGAAUGGUAGGAAAUCUUGAUAAAUGCGAGUAAAUGCUGCGUUCUGAGUGGUGAUGUCCAAUAAAUUACUGAAUCAUUUUCGGAUCUCUGUGUUUUUUUUGUUGAGAUUAGAGUAUUAGACUAUUCGAGUGGCAAUUUCUUUCCCGUUGGCAGUAGCGCGAACGCUCGACGUGCCGAUCCCACCGGAGGCCGGUGGCCAUCACAACGCAGCAGCGACAGCAUUGGGCCUCGUUCUGUACGCUCUCGUACAGCCCCUGCCUGUCUGACUCUGACGGCCGGGGUGCCGGGCCGAACCUGCCCGAGCUCCGCCGAACGCCGUGCACUCGGCCGCCGCCGCACACCCGGGCGAUCGCGGCUGCGGGCCGUGCAGGUCGCAAGCCGCAUCACGGUCGGGUUCACGUCCUGCCGUCUCUCGCGGGCCGCGUCAGCCUCGGUGCCUCGUUCCCGUGGACGACCUGCAUCCACUGAGCGACCGCACCGUACCGGACGGACCAUGCUGCCAGUGCCGCACACCUCCACGCCACGCGCACCUGCUGACAUGCAGCCUGCAGCCGACGGCUGCGCCUGUUGUCUUGUAGUGUCGGUGGCGCAAGCUGGCAGCAUCCGCUUCUGGCUCUGCUUGUCCGACGAUUUUCACCGCACUCGCCGCUGCUCCGGCAUGAGCCUGAGCAUAUGCGCGUCUGAGACCGAAGGCGGAGCCAUCUUGUUUUCCGUUCUUGAUCGGGUUUGGUGAUCCUAGCAAGUUCCUGGAUGCUGUCACAGCUUGUGGCAAGGUAGCUUGAGGUUUAAGCGCCUUUUUUUCGCAGGAUGACAAAUGUUGCGCGUUUGGUUGUUUGAUAAGAUUUUUUGAAAACCCGUGUCCUACAUCCUGGGGUGAGCAGAUGAAGGCUGAGGGAGUGAGGGUUGGAAAUUCUUAUUAAAAAAAAUGUUUUGUUUAAUUUGCAUGAGCUGAUUUAAAAAAUAAUGAGAUUCUGUUCGAUUAGGCACACAAUCGCGGGGGUUCGAUCGCCCCUCCUUAGAUCAUUGGCACGUAGAUGGAAGUUGCAAUCAUCAAGAGGCAGAAGAAGCAGUGGUUGCAAUCAUCUCACUAAUUAUAUAUCUAUUAAUAAUUCCUAAUAGAAAGAACACAGCAUGGCACCUUCAAAAUGAAAAAGUAAUGCUAACCUACUCAAAUCUCAAAGGUUAUUUGCGAGAAGAACCAUAGACUCUAUAAUCUGUACUGAGACAAGAAUCUUUAGGUUGGAACUUUAUCAGGGUGGCGUCACUAACCUCGGUGAGUUCAACAAGUUGCUCGAACAAAAUUUCAAAGGGCCUUAGCUACUAUAUAAAUGAAUCUACGCCUAGUAUAAGUGUGAGAUUCUUUAUAACACGUCAAAAUAAGCGGUACUGGAUGAUCGCAGUUCUACGAUGUCGCAGAAAUUCCUCGCUUAACUCGUACCCAUCCAGCAGGACAAUGGCAUUUUUCCAGAUCUCGCCCAACUCUAACCCGGUACACCCUGCCGGUAUCCUCGCAAACUCCACCCGGGAUAUUCCGUGCAACCUCAGUUACCCGCUCCGUUCCCCGACGAAAAGCUCAAGAUCCGGACGUACAUGCCACGCCUGAGGCCUGACCGCCUGACGCCUCGCCACCCAGAGAAGAAGCUUCCUCUCGCCGUCGGCCACCGGUAUCCGCGCCCGUCCAACCCCGCGCCCGCACCCCGGCGCGGCACGGAUCCCACCGGCCCAAGUCAGAACAGCAGCUGCGCCCGGAAAUCGCCCGCCUCCGCUCUGCUCCGCCCACCAACACACACGACACCGCUGCCCUCCCUCCCGCCUCGCUGCCCACCUCCUCGUCGUCUGAUCGCCAUCGCCUCGGCUAGAGAACCCGCGGUCCACGCUCCCCUCGCUCCAAAUCCCGUCGCCAUAAAUCUCGCCACGCCCUCGCCCGCGCGCCCCCCUCCUCUCUCUCCCCAUCCGUCCCCCCGCUCCCGCUCCGCCGAGGAAGAGCAGCCAUGGCGGGCUCCGAGCAACGCGUCGUCGCCGUCAUCAUGGUUGGCGGCCCCACCAAAGGUCAGUACAGCUGCUAGAUCUGCGCGCCCACUGGGAGACAAACCCCUCACCUCGCUGCGCGCCGCGCGAACUCGCUUGCCUGAUGGAUUGGCGGCCCUGGUGCCGCUUUGUCUGGUGCAGGGACGCGGUUCCGGCCGCUGUCGCUGAACGUGCCCAAGCCGCUCUUCCCGCUCGCCGGACAGCCCAUGGUGCACCACCCCAUCUCCGCCUGCCGCCGGGUAAGCCGCCGCCAAUUCCUUCGUCCCCUCCUCCUCUGUGGAAUCGUGGUGCGUUCGUGUGUUGCUGUGCGCGCGGUUUUUUUUAUGAGAGAUGAGCUUUUGGAUACCGAUGCUGUGCAGAUCCCCAACCUGGCGCAGAUAUACCUCAUCGGAUUCCACGAGGAGCGGGAAUUCAAGCUCUAUGUCUCGUCUAUCUCCAACGAGCUCAGGAUCCCCGUCAGGUUUGUUUCGAGCCCUGCUAGCUGUUUGCUUCCGGUGGGUUGGCUUGUGCGCGAUUGGAGAUUUGAGAGCAGUGCCAUUGAGAGCGUGUUGUCAAUUCUAGGUACCUAAGAGAGGAUAAGCCGCAUGGGUCUGCUGGAGGGCUCUACAGCUUUAGGGAUUACAUCAUGGAAGACAGUCCGGUAAUGCCUUAUUGAUCUAGCUCGAUUGUCAGCUUGAAUUGUGAAAUUGGAUUAGAUAUUUAGAUUUAUUUUCUAGGGUAUUGUUUGCCGAUUCAGAACAUAUGCAGUUGCUGGGAUUUUGUAUUACAUUGUUAAGUUGGGUUGAUCAAGAAUUCUUCAUCCUCUAAAGCUUAGUUUUUUUUUCUGGUGGUUUUGCAGUCACACAUAGUUUUGCUGAACUGCGACGUCUGUUCUAGCUUCCCCCUGCCCGACAUGCUGGGUAAGUUGCCAAGUAACUGAAGUAUACUCUCCCAGCAUUUUAUCAUGUUGGUUCGCAUUAUCAGUUUGGUGAUGAUGUUUCAUGAUCUUAGACGCGUUCCUCUAACCACAAGCAUGGUUAGUGUAAUAAUUGAAUAUCAUGAGCUUGAGCUUUGCUGUUCAGAACUAUUACUGAAUCCAGUUGUCAUCAAGGUCAUGUCUGAAACUGUUCUUGUGCCCCUGAUGGAGUGUAGUGUGAGCAAGUGGUAGGAGGUGUAGUGGGUUAGUGUUGAAUAAAGCUGAACCGUGGGGCUUCUCACUGCUAGCUUAUUUUUGACAUAAUCAUUGGUUACAUACUUAAAGUGAUGCAAUCGCCUCUGAUGUACCUAUUGUAGAUUACGCGCUGUUCAAUCUUGUGGUAUGGCAGUUGUACGUCUCACUACUUAAUUUUAAAGUAUCGUAUAGAGCAUAUAUGAUGACAAAAUGAUCGGUCAUUAUGGGAAUAAUAGUUAAUAAGUCUGGUAUUCAAUUUAGUUGAGCGUGUUUUAAACUUACUUUAGUUGCGCAUAUUCAAUUAACCAUUGGAUACUAAAUUCUUUUUCACAACAGGGUAGACUUUCCAUUUUCAUUCAUCCGAAUUCAUGAAUAUCUAUCUCUGACAUAACUCAGAAUAUGAAACAGAUAUCUUAGCUUCUGAAUUUUUGUGAACUAAUACUUUUCUGUAUAGCUGCACAAUAACUUGUGAACUUAUAUUGAUGUUCCAUCUAUAAUUCUGUUCAUUGAUAAGAUGGACCAUCUGCAUAACUUCUGCAGUGUUGGUCAUUAUUGGAUACCAACAGCUAAAUUUUUCACUGUUCUCGCCAUUGCAGAGGCCCAUAAAAAGUAUGGAGGAAUGGGUACUUUACUAGUCAACAAGGUACGAUAAUACUAUUCUGAAACAUUGCAGAUUAAUCUGGUCUUUCUCAUGCAUAUUUGUUACUCCUAAUAUCAUCCCACUUGUAAUAGUAUAUGCUUACACAUUAAAUCAGGUAUCUGCAGAGUCAGCAAACCAGUUUGGCGAGUUGGUAGCUGAUCCUGAAACAAAUGAACUUCUGCACUAUACAGAAAAGCCUGAGACUUUUGUGAGUGCAGUUCUGCUCUUUGUUGUUUAAUUUGCUCCUCUAUAUUUUUAGUUGAGACUUUGCAUGCCAUAUUUGGAUUUAAAUCAAUCGCAACUAUUCACAAGUAAUGGUUCUCAAUGAAUAAUUAGCAUAGCUGAUGGCACUGAUGCAGUUUAUCUAUCUGUAGGUGAGUGAUCUCAUAAAUUGUGGAGUAUAUAUAUUUACUCCCAAUAUCUUUAGCGCCAUUGAGGAUGUCUUAAAACAGAAGAAAGACAGAGGUAUUGUCUGCUGUUAUCUAUUAUGGCUUCUUCCAUUGGAAAUGUAUGUUAUUGUUUAAACAGAACAUUCUUGUUUAUUAUAUGUCUUCAAAUGCUAACAUAUCUUAAAGAAGUAGAUGAGUAGAUGUAAAAUACCAUCUUUAUUUUUGUUGCAAGUCACAUGGAAAAAGUAUUAUUUUCUUCACCUAUAUUGAUAUUUUUAAUUGUUAGUUCUAACACGGAUGUUCUAAAAUGUGCUGCUUGUAGUAGAUAUUCUAACUUGGUCUUCUUAGUUCCCUUGAUUGACACUUUAUAUUUCCACCAUAAAGCUUAAUCCCUUAAAUUGCUACAUUUCAGCAAACUUGCGCCGUGUAUCUAGCUUUGAAGCUCUUCAAUCAGCAACCAAGUAUGUGUUUGUGAUAUAUUCUUCUAUUCAUGUUUAUGCACAUAUUCUUAUUACAAAACUUGUUUGGCAUACAGUUAUUACCUUUGGCUUCUCCAUUUUUGUUGUGGUUCAUUAAAAACUUGUAGUUGAUAGCACUGCCAUAAAUUCAAUUACAAAGUAUUUAUUGCUAUGUAAACCAUCUUAUAAGUUUAAUGCCAACAGGGCACUUCCAGCAGACUUUGUUAGGUUAGAUCAAGAUAUUUUAUCCCCUCUAGCGGGAAAGAAGGAGCUGUACACAUACCAGACACUCGAUUUUUGGGAACAGAUCAAGACCCCAGGGUAUACAGAUAUUUUUUUAUCCUGCUUUUCUUUAUAUUGGAAUUUCUGACUAACCAUUGCUUCAUCUUGAGUAGGAUGUCUUUGAGAUGCUCUGGGUUAUAUCUUUCUCAGUUCCGCCGUACCUCUCCUCAUCUUUUAGCUUCAGGAGAUGGCAUAAGGACUGCCACUAUUGUAGGCGAUGUGUACAUCCAUCCAUCAGCCAAGGUUCAUCCUACUUCAAAGGUAAUGUCCGUUUCAUCUACCUAUUUUGUUCAGAUUGUCAUAGAUCAUGUUCAAUUGGUUGUUGUUGACUGAUACUGAAAUGCUUAAACUUUUUAAUAGGAAUGUAUUCAAGAGACGAAAUGUAGCUAACCCUGUAACUCUGUAAACAGAUCGGUCCCAAUGUCUCUAUAUCAGCAAAUGCGCGUGUUGGAGCUGGUGCCAGGCUUAUCAAUUGCAUAAUUCUGGAUGAUGUUGAAAUUAUGGUUAGUUUUCUUUUUCUCUGUGCCAAGUGGUAAACCAUAUUUAGGAAAUAUCUCAUAGUUGUUUUCUUUCUUUCUUUUUUGUUUGUGUAUCAGGAGAAUGCAGUUGUUAUACAUUCAAUUGUGGGGUGGAAGUCAUCCAUUGGAAAAUGGUCACGUGUACAGGCAAGCUUUUCUCUUUAUCAUUCAUUUUUAUCCAGUUUCAAAUUUAAUGAAUCCUCAUUUUCUAUAAAUCUUAAUAACUUUACCUUAGAACAAUUUGUCAAGAUAACAUCAGUUGGCUUAAUGUAAAUAUAACUUCUGUUCUGAAUUCAGGGCGAAGGUGAUCACAAUGCCAAACUUGGUAUUACUAUUCUUGGUAAGACCCAAACUGGACAAUUUACUGUUGCUUUCACACAGAAAUCUUGGUGAUCAUUUCGUUUCUGGAAUUGACAUCCUAUAUUAACGCAGGUGAAGCCGUUGAUGUUGAAGAUGAAGUAGUUGUAGUUAACAGCAUUGUGCUCCCAAACAAAACUCUCAAUGUCAGUGUCCAAGAGGAGAUCAUCCUAUAACGGCCACCAUUUUUUUUCUGUUUAUUCCAAAUAAGGUCUGAAUACCAAUCACGUAGUUUCUGUUUAUUUGUUCUCACCACAUAAGCUUCCGUUAGAUUGAGAUUAUUAUUAGUCUGUAUUUGUACCCUUCUUGCAGCGUGAUACGGCACAAUCUUCAUGACUUGUUAGGUUGGCUAGUGUGGUGAUGUAGAAAAUGUACAAACAGUGAUGCCAUUUUUGUCGAGAAUGAACACUUUACCAUCAAAUGUCAGUUGUUCACCUGCUUGUUGUCCUUUGGAGUUUGGAUAUCCUAGUCAUCAGGUGACGCCAUUUUUGUUGAAAAUGAUUCAAUGGACACUUUGCUUUUAAAAGUCAGUUGUUUGCCUGCAUGUUGUACUUCCGAGUUUGCAACACCAUUUAUUUUCAUUCUUACUAAGCUAAUGCAAAAUAGCACUUAGGCCAAUUGUAUCUUCAGGUGGGCGCAUAAUUACAUUAUCCAAUGCGCUUCUCUAUGUUCACUGCCUUUCAGAUAACAUAUAUGCCACACGGUUCGUCAGUGCUUUCAGAGCAUUAAUUCAGUGAAAUGUGCAGACAAUGCUACUGGUUUGGUUGUAGUGCUAACCUCUGUACAAAAGCGCUUCAAUUGCGUACCAAAAUACCAAUGCGUACUGCCAAUGGGACGGGAACGGUAAGACCAGUAGCAGCUAUUUACAAAGUUGGGAAUGACACAUUUCUUGACCGAUUUAAAUUAUCCUAUGACCAAAAUAUUUUCAGCAUCACUUGCAGAGUUACUCCAAAAACAUUCUCCAGUCUUCAAGCUUCACUUAUUGCAGUCUUCAAAGAAAGAUGCAGGAAUUUCUUGUGGCGAUACCAUUGUCGACACACACCCGAACUGUAAACAUGUUUAAGCAGACAAAUUUUAACAGAAUACAGCACGCAGAAAACAACAACAAAAUUGAGAUAAUGGAUGUACCUUGGGGUCCUCGUACUUCUCUCUGAUUGCUUUCUGGUCCGGGCACCGGAUGCUCAACUGCAGUUCAUGUAUGAUGAAAAUGGAUUUCUGCAGAUCAAAGGCUUUAUAUCCCGUGUUACGUUGAAGCGUCAAGUUCUGGAAAAUCACGCACAAUAAAGUCAGAAAAAAGAGGUGUACAAACUAAUGUCAGAAAAGUAUGCAGCUUAGAUACAGUUGACAAUAAAGGCCAUGUUCUUACCCAAGGAUGAGUUCUUGGGCGGAUUGUGAACCUGGCUACAAACAGACAGGCAGCAGCAAGUACUGAUGGUAGAUAGCUUAUGCAGUCAUAGUCCAGCAAGCUCAAUUCUGCGAGAUAGCUACACAUGGACUCCAGUUUUUCGCUGCUUGUGCGCUGAACUUUCAAGGGAAAAAAUAGAUUAACAAAAGAAUAUAUAGGAAAGUACAAGUGGAUACUCCAAAAGUACACUUACAUUGCCUCCACGACAUGAAGCUAUGAAUCGCCUACAGCAGAUAGUUGUCAAGUAUUAGACUCUGAAAUUUGUUAGCACAGUAAGGCAAUAAUAGGAUUAUCACAAGAUUUAUGCAACACAAUUCACAUAUGUCGACCCCUUUUACAUUACCAGGGGAAGUUAUGUGAAAUGUGAAGCUCGUUCUAAGUCAAAAAAAAAUGAAGAAGACAUACCGUAGAAAUGUGGUUACAGUGGGACCCCCAAUCUCAAAGUUAAGAGAUUUCAGUAAGUCAGCCUCCAUCUUCACCACCUUUAUUGCACAUAAAACAGAAAUGUGUGCCUAUGAUCCAUGGCCCAGGGGAACUAACUAAGAAAUGGAAAAUUCAGCAGAAGAGAGGCUACUUGCUGUUUGGUGUAGGUGUUAUCCGUAAUGUCUGUGUAUUUGUUCACCUUCAUCUUAGAAGACUCAAUUUCUUCAUAUUUGCUGCACCAUUCCAAAUAUGCAGCUCAGAGAAUAGUUUUACAUGAUAAACAAAAAGGGUAAACAAACAGUUCAGUCCCGUACGCAGCAAGGAGUAAUGCAGUGACACCCAGCAGUUGCAGCUUGUUCCGAGUAACGACAUUCAUUGUGAGGAAGCGGUCAACAUAUGAAACUGCAAGGUAAAGAGUUUCUGCCUGAAGCUUGAAUUCGUCAGCCACUUCUACCAACCAGUCCACAAGGACAGCCCUCAUUUUGGGGGAGAUGGCUUUCUGGAUCUUCUGAAAAUAGUCAGGACUUGGCCUCCUCAAUGGUUCAACCUAACAAUCUCAACAAAAUAAGAGAGUCACACCUAAAUGGCUAAAAUUCCGCAUCUCAAUUGAUCAAAGGACAAAAUCUCUUGCAUUUUGUUCAAAACAGUGCUAGUAAGUUCAGUAAAUUAAGAUGACACGGGUCCUGAAGCAGUCACAAACUGUAGGUGGGCUGAAACAUAAGCCAAGAUAAUGGAAUUUAGCUCCAAAGAGUCAUUUUCUUUUGUGAAGCCACAACCUGUCGACCUACACUCCAGAGUCCAGUCUGGGACACUUAUCAUAGCUGCAUUAGCAAUCCUAGUUAACCACUUACCUAGCCAGCAGCAGCUAAAGCCUAAAACUAGACAAAAUGAACAUUUCACUCCAAUGAAAUUAAAAUCACAUAUUGCCCAAUCAAAUCAAAGUAUCAAACCGACCAAAUCUGAGCACUCAAGGCUACAGCAUGAUCACGCCUCCUCAAAUGCCUCCAUCACAUCAGCUAGCAUCACACAUUCACAGCCCUAAUCAACCAAAUCCAAGCACCAAAUACGCCCACGCGCAAGCUCCCCGGUCUCAGGGGGAACAAAAGGUACUAGUCGAGAAACCCUCACCUCCAACGACCGGAGGUACCGGUCGAUGUCCGCGUGGUACGGCGCAACGGCCGCCUGCGCCGCGCCUGCGUCCUGCCGCUUCGGGUCCAGAAGGCGGGCCACACCGGCCCCGCGCGCGGCGUCCCCAUCCUCCCGCCGCUUCCUCGCAUCCUCCGCCUCGGCCUCCGCCCGCGCCGCCGACCGCGUCCUCGGCUUCGACGGCCGCGGCGCCGAGCCGCCAUCCGUGUCCCGCCAUUCGUUGAUCGGCAGCUCCACCAGGGCCUUGCGCUUCCCUUGCGACCGCCGAAGAGGCGGCGCCGAGUGCGCGGCGUUCUCCUUGCUCUCCAUCACCUCCGGCUCCGGCUCCGGCUCCUGACGCUGCUGCCGGUGGCGAUGGCCGCCCGGAUCCGUUCCGCCGGUCGCCUUGGGUCUCCGCUGGGGUUUGGGGGGUUUUGGUCCGGGCGAAUGAACGAAUGAGGCGGCGUUCGUUCCGGGGAAGCUUGAUGCGGUUUGAAUUUUGGGGAUGGGCUUAUGGCGGGCACGGGGCAUCCGCAGGCCGAAAUGCGCCAAUGCGCCAUGUUCACCAUGACACACACACGGGGGACGUAGCGGUGUCACUGACUCGUUGGGCCCACAUGAAGCAAAUAGGAAACGCGAAAGUUCUGGAGAGGUCCUACAGUUUUUCCAGCCGGGAAUCCCGAUUCCUGAUCGCACAGGCGAUCGAAGGAAUACUGGUUCUAGUUCCUAUGAAAUUUUUUGAAGAUUAUAGUUCUAUGAGAAAAUUUCGUAUGUGAAUUUUUGGAACAAAGGAAUUUAUCUAUGAAACUAUCUCAAAAUUCAUAUGGAACAUGAAGCUAUAUGAAAUUUGGAGGAAACGGAACAUGAGGCUGGACUUUAUGGGAACUUCCCUUUGGAUUCACGCGUCUUUACUGUGUUGCAUCCAUAGGUUACUUUAGAAACUUUUCUGCAUUUUGAAUUCAUAUAGCACUGCAAGUUUGUUGCACCCCCAUUCCUGUAUUUUCUUUUCUAUUCAUACUAUGCUUUUAGAAUACUGUAUUCCAAAGGGACCUAGAAUACUUCUUCAGAUUUGUGCACACUCAUACGAUACAUGUCGGACUCUACAUGUCGUACAAGAUAACGUGUUGCCGUGUCCCGCGUGCAUCCCAUACGAACGAGAUGAAGGCCGCGGAGAAGAUGGAGAAGUGCAUGAACAGCAAUGCUGCUGCGUCGGCCUCACCCGCACGUAUCCAGAGCUUGCAAAACUGCCGUGGCACGACCGCACGAGGGGCGUCGACGCGUCGUUCGACGAGCAAGAACAAUAAUGAACCCAACCUAUCGGUUCCCCGACCUGAAGAGACGCCGCGGCCAGCAGAAAGGGCGGAGCCUGCUCGUCUUCCACCUCCUCCGAUUCCCGGAGCAGAGUCAGACAGCCAGCAAUCACCUCGCCAUCAUCAGUUAAAUAUAUACAAGAACACAUCAGUUAAAUAUAUACAAGAACCCAAUAAUCGCCAUGCCCAAGACGAUCCGGUACGACGCCCACAAGGAGCACCCGCUGGUGCUCGUCGACAUCGGCGGGAGCAGCGGCGGCAAUGGCCGCAGCUUCACGUGCGAUGGCUGCGGCUGCCGGGGCGCCGGCCCCCGCUACCGCUGCGGCGCGUGCGACUUCGACCUGCACGAGCUCUGCGCGACGGCCCCCGGGACCGCGUGGUUCUUCUUCCACGGCCAGCACCCGCUAGCCCUCGAGCUGGCCGUCGAGGACGGCGGCGACGGCAGCCCUCGCCACUGCGACAUCUGCGAGAUGGACAUCCACGGCAUGCACUACCGUUGCCGGCCCUGCGGCUUCGACGCGCACCCCGUCUGCUUGCAGCUGCCCGGCGCCGCCGUCUCGCCGCUGCACCCGGAGCACCUCGUGAUGCUCAGCGUGGGCGGCCCCGAGGAGUGCACGCGCUGCGGCGCCGACUGCGUGUGGCGAUACCGCUGCGGCGUGUGCGACGUCAACCUCCACCCGAGAUGCCUGCUGGGCACUGAUGAGACGCCGCUCAACAUCCCCAGGAGCAACUAGAUCCAUAAGAACCAUGAGUUCUCAAUGUUAAUAGGAUAAGGUGUAGGAUGACCGGUUCCUUCGGUCAGUUAGAUCUUGACAUAGUCUUUCGGCUACCACGACGUCCGUUAUUGAUGGACGUGAAUGGUAUGCUUGUACGUGUAUAAAACACACCUGAAAUGAUCAAUACAAUAUGUCGAUUGCCUCUCUCCCUCUUUCAUGGUAUCAGCUUAACCUUCGAUCAUAUUCUUGCGCUGCUCUUUCUGCAACAAUGGCUCACAGCCCUUCUUCCUCCUCCGGCGCCUCCACCGUGGGUGCCCAAGAUCUCAACCCCUUCCACGUUGCUGCACCCAUGCCGAUAGCCGCCUCCACAGUUCAACUUGUGAACAUCCGUUCCCAUGUGCCUGAGACAACUCCAACUACUCCGCCUAGAGCUCCUUCUUCGAACUGACCUUCCGCAAGUUCGGCAUCAUUGACCACGUCGACGGCACGGUUGACGCCCAACUCCACCUCCACGAUGUCGAGUGGACGCAGAUCGACCACUACAUCAUCUUCUGGAUCUACCUCACCAUCUCCAAGGGCAUCCGCGACAUGGUGUUCCAGCGCCGACUCCCUCUAGGUGGCGGUGCACGGCCUCUUCCUCAAAAACACCAUGCAGAGCGCCGUCUAUGUGCUACAGGACUUCCACAGUCUGUAUCAAGGUGAGCUUAGCAUCACCGAUUACUACUGCCAGCUCAAGAAGUUGGCCGACACGCUAGGCGAUGUCGGCCAUCCCAUUAGCGAUCAAGCUCUCGUCGUCAACACCUUGCGCAGCCUCAACUCCAAGUUCAGCUCCGCCAUCAACGUCCUCCGCACCAUCAACAACCCUCCUCCGACCUUCCUCUAUGUGCGCUCCUACUUGAUCCAGGAGGAAACGCGCAUUGAGUGCACCCACAAGAUGGAGGCAGCCACGGCUCUUCUCGCUGCCGGUUCCACUACUCCCACCGGCACGCCGUCUAAGCCGCCGUCCUCGACGUCGACAACGCCACACAGCUACUCCCCCACCAAAGGUGGCGGCGACCAUAAGAAGAAGCGCAAGCAGGGUGACGACCGUGGCUGCGGCACAUCCACGCCGUCGACAGGAACACAGGCGCCGAUGCAGUGGAACCACGCCAACAACCCAUGGACAGGCGUUGUCCAGGCAUGGCCCAUGCCGCAAUGGCGCACCACAGGCGUUCUCGGCGCCCGUCCCGGUGGUAGUGGCAGUGGAUCCCAUGCCCUGAUGGUGUCUGGCAACACAUCAGCUCCACCUAACAACAACGUCGUGCACGAUCUUCUCACCGCACUCCAUGGCCAACAGUUCAACUCCAACAACUACAACGGUGGCGGCGACACCGGCCCAUCUUCUCAUGUGGCAACACACCCUGGUAUUCCUCACAACCGUCCGCUCUCUCACAAUUCUUCUCAUAUUAUUGUCAGCAAUGGCGCACCUCUUCCUGUCACUCACACCGGUCACAUCUCCAUUCACACGCCUAAGAACCCAAUUCAACUUAAAAAUGUUGUUGUUUGCCCCUCUUUGAUAAAGAAUCUAGUCUCAGUUAGAUCUCUAACUCGUGAUAAUAAUGUGGAAUUUGACACUUUUCGAUUCUCUAUCAAGGAUCUGCAAACGAGGACGGUGCUCCUCCGAUGUGGUUCUGCUGGCGACCUCUAUCCACUCCGCCCCAGCACUGGCAACCACACCAACCACAACCUUCAUGUUGACAACACAUCCGCGCUCUGGCAUGCUUGCCUCAGCCAUCUGGGCAAUGCCCCCCUCUCUAGUUUACUUGGCAAUUUCAAUUUCUCUUGCUCAUGAACGGAGGACCACACGUGCCAUGCCUGCCGUCUUGGCAAGCACGUGCGUCUCCCGUUCACCAGCUCAAAUAAUGUUGCACCUUCACCUUUUGAUUUGCUUCACUGCGAUCUAUGGACCUCGCCUAUUUUAAGCAAUUUUGGAUAUCGAUUUUACCUUGUCAUUCUCGAUGAUCAUACUCAUUUUGCUUGGACGUUUCCGUUACGGCACAAGUCUGAUGGUUUGCCCACUAUACUAUGCUUUCAUGCUUAUGUCAAAAUACAAUUCAAAGCUAACAUCCGCAGCCUUCAAACCGACAAUGGCAAGGAGUUUGAUAACCACGACCUAAGCUCGUUUCUCUCUACACACGGUAUCAUCCUGCGCCUCACGUGCCCAUACACUUCGCAGCAGAACGGCCGUGCUGAGCAGGUCCUCCGCACACUCAACGACAGCGUCCGCGCACUCCUCUUCCACGGUGGCGUUCCCCCAACGUUCUGGCCUGACGCGCUCGCCACAGCCACAUACACGCUGAACUGCCACCCCUGUCGGCCACGCAACAACGCCACUCCCUACGAGCUUCUCUAUGGGCACGCUCCCACCUACGAUCAUCUGCACAUAUUUGGGUGCUUGUGCUACCCAAACUUGGCCGCCACUACUGCACACAAGCUCGCGCCACGCUCCGUCGCUUGCGUGUUCUUGGGCUACCCUGCGGACACGAAGGGCUAUCGCUACUAUAAUCCCACGACCCGCCGCGUCAUCGUGUCUCGGCAUGUCUACUUCGAUGAGCAGCAGUUUCCUUGCAGGACCACGGCGCCUCCAGCUCCCACUCCUCCAGCGGCUCUGCCCAUCUUGGAGCUCGUUCCAGCACCACCUCCGACUCGUCACAUUCCAACGCGCUGGGCACAUGUGCCUAUCGCCCAGGGGCCAUCCUCGACACCAGAGUCCUCAGCACCUGCGGCACAAGCGACUCUGGCUACAUCGUCCUUAGCACCUACGGUACCAGCGACCACCACAUCGCCCUCGACAAUGACGCCGCCGAAGUCCACGACCUCACCAGCGCCGAUGAUGCCCACCACCUCAACACUGCCGGCGACACCAUCAGCAUCGCCGGCAGCUCUCGCGAGCAACCCGACCGCUGCAACACCAUCCACAACGUCACCCAUGGUGUCUGGAGUGCCGUCCACCUCGACACCUACAGCAACGACCACAUCGUCAACUACGCAGCAGCCUCUUCACCACAUGACGACGCGUGUCAGGGCAGGGAUCUUCAUGCCCAAUCCUCGGUACGCUCAGGCUGCCAUGACGGUGGACGAUCACGCUGUGCCCUCCAGUGUCCGUGCGCCUUGCGUGAUUCAGCAUGGCGCGACGCGAUGCAAGAAGAAGUUGAUUCUCUUCAUAGGAACAACACGUGGACCCUCGUUCCAUGACCAAGCAAUGCGCCCAUCAUCACCAGCAAGUAGAUAUUCAAGAACAAGCUCCUUCCCGACGGUACAUUGGAACGACGAAAGGCUCGGUGGGUGGUACAUGGUUUCAACCAACGCCCCGGCAUCGACUUCAAUCAGACAUUCUCUCCCAUCAUCAAGCUUGCGACCAUUCGAACCGUCCUCACCCUCGUCGCCUCUCACCGGUGGCCUAUACAUCAGCUAGAUGUCAAGAACGCGUUCUUGCACGGCAAACUACAGGAACGUGUAUAUUGUCAACAUCCCACCGGGUUCAUCGACGAUCGCUAGCUCGACUACGUCUGUCUUCUCACGAAGUCCCUGUACGGCCUCCGUCAAGCACCGCGUGCAUGGUACCAACGAUUUGCUGGGCAUCUUCGUAGCCUCAGCUUUGUCUCCACGGGCUCGCUCUUCGUGUUUCACCAUGGCAACGACACGGCGUGGCUACUGCUUUACAUAGAUGAUAUCCUCCUCACGACGUCCUCGACAACACUUCUACAGUCCAGCAUUAAUCAACUUCACAGCUCGUUCGCCAUGAAGGACCUCGGCCCCGUACACUACUUCCUCAACAUCCAAGUCUAGCACACUGCCGAUGGCUUCUUCCUCCAUCAGCAGUAGUACGCGGAUGACAUUCGAAGAUGCCACGUUCUACCGGAGCAUCACCGGAGCCCUGCAAUACCUGACGUUGACCCGACCAGAGCUGGCCUACACCGUGUAGUAGGCGUGCCUGCACAUGCACGUGCCAAGGGACAUCCACUGGAACUUGAUCAAGCGCAUACUACGGUACGUCUACGGUACUACUCGGCAUGGCGUGCGUCUACGCGGCUCCUCGUCCACGGCGCUGACAGCGUACACCGACACGGAUUGGGUCGGCUGCCCGGACACACAGCGUUCGACGUCGGGUUUCUGAGUCUUCGUCAGAGACUCACUGAUCUCAUGGUCAUCCAAGAGGCAAGCCAUCAUCUCACACUCCAGUGCCUAAGCCGAGUAUCGAGGUGUGGCCAAUGCGGCUGCAGAGUGUUGCUGGUUGCGUAAUCUCUUGCGUGAGCUGCACUUACCCGUCAACAAGGCAAGCAUCAUCUUCUGCGACAAUGUCUCCGCCGUAUACCUCACAGAGAAUCCGGUGCACCAUCGCAGGACCAAACAUGUGGAACUCGAUAUCCACUUUGUUCGCAAGAAGACAACGCAUGGACAACUGCUUGUUCUUCAUGUACCAACCAAGCACCAGUUUGCAAAUAUAAUGAUGAAGGGUCUUCCAACGGCGCUAUUUGAAGAUUUCCAAGAUAGUCUGUGCAUCAAAUCAGCCGAUGUACUGGCUGAGGGGGGGUGUUAUAAGGUAGCAUGACCGGUUCCUUCGAUCAGUUAGAUCUUGGCCUAGUCUUUCAGCUGCCAUGAUGCCCGUUACUAACGGACGUGCAUGGUGUGCUUGUACGUGUAUAAAACACACCUUGGAUAAUCAAUACAAUCUAUCGAUUGCCUCUCUCCCUCUUUCACUCAAAAGUACGCAUGCUAAGAAAAGUUUUCCGAGUGUUUUCCUACGUGGUUUGGUCUUGCAGCUCUUUGUUUCCACGUCACAAGAGAUAUUCAUCUAAUUCUACAUGCAGCACAUUAAGACCCAUUAUCAUGUUCCAAUACUUCGCAUAUCAGUAUGACACUAGAAUGCACCUCCAUGGAAUGGAUUUUUUUUUUUUGGUGUGUGUGUGUGUGGGUGGGUGGGUGGGGGGGGGGGGGAUCUAUGAUAGACAAUAUGGAACAUAUAUAGAAGAUAUACUGAAUUGUGUCAUUGUUAGCUUGACAGCAGCUAUGAAAGCAACAUGACCAAGUGUGGACGCGCAAGAUAAAUCUGUAGCUUGAAACUUUCAGGGAACACAUCAGAGUACAGAACUAAGGAAAAUCCAAUAAUGUAUUCACCUCGUAAACAAAAUUUAUCAUCACUAAUUCAUGGUCGUCAUCGUCCAAAUGUAUAUGCUAAUCUGCUCUCAAUAUAUCAAUAUCAGCUCCAUCACCAUUACUGUGCCUGCUUUCAGCUGCGUGAUGGAGCUUUUGGCAAUCUUCAGGUGCCAGCCGACCAAAUCUUGCCAUCUUUUCAGUUAACCUGGCAAUAGAUUCUUCCUGUUUGGCAAGCUGCAUAAGUAUCUUUAUCCUUCUAAAUGCAACAUUGCUGGGCUUUUGCCCCAGCUCAACCAUUUGAUGGAAGCACCUCUCCGCAUCCUCCAACUUCCCCUCAUCGCACAGCAAGUCAAAUAGCACAUCUGAUACCAAGGUGAAUGAUCCAAACCCAUUGCUAACCAUAUCACUCCACAGCUCAAGUGCUUGAGCCACCUCCCCAUGCCGACGGCACAGCCUUAUGAUGAACAUGCAAGAUUGUGUGUUUAGGAAGCAUCCUUCAGACCGCAUCCGCUCAUACAACCGCCAUGCGCUGCCAAUAUCGUACGCCCAGUAAUAGCACCUGAAGAAAAGGUUAUAAGUCGUGGGAUUCGGCUUCAGUCCCUUUGAGGCCAUUUCAUCCAUCAGGGCAAACGCAUCACCAAGUCUCUUUGCUAUAACAAAGUUCCGUAUUGCAGCGUUGUAUGCAGGGAUGUCUGGGUAGCACCCGAGUUCAUGCAUCUCCUUCAGCAAGUCCUUUGCCUUGUCAGGUUGGCCAAUCAACCCCAGCCCACCAAUCAGGCUCGUGUAAGUGAUCACAUCAGGGGAAAUGUCCUUCUCCCGCAUUUCGUCGAGCAGCUUGUAGGCCUUCUCCACGUCCUUGUUCUUGCAAUGGCAAUCGAUCAAGCUGUUAUAGGUCACCAGGUCGGGCUCCACCCCAAGCUCCCGCAUCUCGGCAACGAACGCCUCGGCGUCCUCGGCCGACUUCCAGCCGGAGAGCAGGAUGUUGAAGGUCUGGCGGUUCACCUGGAACUCGUAUUUGAGCGCGUGGUAGACAUUGCGCGCGUCGGACAUGCUCUUCUCCUGGCAGAGCGUGCGGAGCAGCGCAUUGAAGAGGCCGGUCGUGUCGGCGCGCCGGAACAUCCGCGCGAGGCGGCGGAAGGAGUCGACGGUCUCGCGGACGGAGCAGACCUUGGCGACGCGGCCGAGGACGACCAUGGCGGUGCGCGGGGAGACGGCGUUCGGGCAGAUGCGACGGGUGGAGUCGAGGAGGUCCCACAUAUGCGCGAACCGGCGGGACCGGCCGAGCACGUAGAGCGCGGUGUCGAUCGUGAAGGGCGAGGGCGCGUCGGCGGCGAGGGAGAGGAGAGAGAGAGCGCGGAGCGGGUCCCCGUGCGCGAAGCGGAAGCGGCGCAUGACGGCGUCGAGGAGCGGGGGCGUGAGCGGGACGGCGGAGGCCGCGAGCGCGGACUCCAUCGCGGACGGCGUGGGCGCGGACGUGACGAUGCGGUACACCGCGUCGGCGUCGGCAUCGGACGCGGGGGCGGCGGCGGUGGAGGUGGCCUCGGGUGCCGCGGACGGCGCCGCUGGCUUGCGGGGCUUGGAGACGUAUCGGAAGAGCCGUGGCGCGGGUUUGGGUGGCAUUUUGCGCGAGGCGGCCGGCGAUUGGGCAGGCGUCGUCGCGUCGCAGGGGCGGAGCGGCUUCAGCGGCUGCCGGCUGGGAAAGGGAGAACUGAGGACGAGCAGCUAGAUCUCGUAAUGGGCCUGUAUUCGCUGCGUUUCUUUUGGGCCUGUUUAUGGGUCAAAUUCUGCCGGGCUUUGCGCGUAUCAGUGUAUGGGCGGAAAAGCGUAGAGUUGGGGUAGCAGACAAGGAGACAACGAAAGGCAAGUGCAAAGCGGCCAUUUUGCAGUCCAUCUCGAAACCUCCUAUGUCCAACAGUUUUAAGUUGCAAUGCUUGAAACCAGAUGACGCUUCCCAUGCAACAUUGACCCUCUCCGCAUUGUGCGCAUAGCCAUUCCAUCCACACACAUGGCGGGAUACAUGUAAAAGAAAAAAGGCAAUGCCACGUGUCAUACACAGAAAGUAACUGAUAGAUCCAGUACUACGCAGUGGGGGGAAUAACUACGUGUUGCUGCGAAAGAAGAGGUGUUUACAGUGAGGAAGAAAUUCUUCAGAAAGGGCGCGGCUUCAAGGAGAUAGACAGUCCACUCAAGGUCGCAUUCAGCAAAGAUGUUGGAGAGAUACAAAUCCGUCAGGUUGCCAAAGACAGGUUGGACCAGCUUGGGGUCUUCCGGUUUAAUCCAAAUCUGAAACAAGCAAUCAGCAAAAAAUUGAAAUGGCACAAAUUGAACAACCGUGACGCCCAGCCUAUUGAAUCAGGGGCAAAUUAAAAAAGGAGGAAUCCAAGCAUUCAUACCAUAUAAUCUUGGAAGUCUAAUCUGACAGUUUCCAGCCUCGUGCCCGACAGCCAGUCGCUCAGCAUGAACGGUGGCUGCCAAUUCAUGGCAGCACAGCCAAAAUCAAUGCCCCGAAGGCUUGGGACGUGGCCGAAAACAACCGGAGGGCUUUCACGCGUCCAGGUAUCGUAAACACACACGCACGAGCUUAGGGACCCGGACGAGCUCGAUUCGCACGUAGCUGCAGAAUUCAAACACCAAUUCCAUCAGCCGAGACCGUGGCGCGUCGAUCCGCAGAACGGAUGGCCGGCCAGAAUCGCAGGAAUUCAGCAGAUUCGGCACAUCGGGCUCGUCGAAUCUCAUGUUCCGAACAGAGAGGCUUCUAAGACAUCUGAACGCGUAGGGGUAAGAGCCGAAGAACCUGCAGGUCCUGUAGCUCCGUCACCACGAUGAACUCGAGGAACUUGGUGUUCCCACGCUCGAGGACGCUGGUCACCGUGGAGCCAAUGGAUUCCAAGUGGGGAUCGGUCAGGCAGAAACGGAGGCGCAAGAGGUUGAUGGAUCGAUCAGCCGUGGGAGCCAACAACCUCUUUGUCGUUUCGGUGUAGAGAUCCACCAGAUCGUUGAGUUGGCUCGUCGCUGAAGUCUCUGUUCGGGGUUUGAAUCCGUCGACAUGAAUGUAAAGGUUUGUGAGCAGAUAAGGAAGCUGCUUCCUCCGCGUCGAGAGGGUGCUGGCCCUCAUCAGAGUUCUCAAGUCAAGGCGGUGCAUGAUAUCGACAAGAAUAUGGUCGGGGAGCGCGCUGAGCCUAUCGUCAUCUUCGGUUCCGUUUUUCUAGUGGCGCAAAGAAAAGAUAACAGAAACAUUUAGGGCAUUAUACAAACAAUUAGAACAUUGUACAAAAAAAAUUAUAAGAAAAACAGAAACAAUUAGGGGAAGAGGACGUGAACCCCAAAAAAAGAACUAUAUUUGGCGUGUUAGGAUUUUGUAAUUGAUCGGUUCGAAAACGUUGCAGCCAAAUGCGAGGGUGAGCCUUGGUAAAAAUUCGAGAGAAGGUAGGGGGACUUACAUUGUUGUGCGAUGGAGACGCCAUGAUAAGAGGCAAAAGUAACAAAAUAAUUCGUAGGAUCCGAAGCAGUACGAAUAAAACCGAUUACGUUCGGUGGUGCUUUAUACUAUUGGCCUUGAGGCCACAAGCACAAUAUUAGGCCUCUAAAUCAGCCCACGGAAACACCUCUAAAACAGCCAACGGAAACUCGGAAACGUAUCUGAGAACAACGAAGGUUGAUUAUCUAUCGGAUCGGAAGAAAGUUUGUAGCGAACAAGGAUUCGAAGUGCAGCCGACGAUGUGCAGUCGAGUUGCUGCAAGGCGCCGACGAUGUGCAGGAAAGAGUUGGUGAGCCUGACGGUGCAGACGAACAUCAACCUCCCCAUUCCUGUGUUUUCAAUAAUAUCAGCCUCAAGCUUACAAAGGAAAUUAACAAACUGUGAAUCAACAAUUGCUGAGAGGGCAGAGUCUUUGUCUCAUCCUUCCUAAAUCUCUUGGAAACCUGGCAUGCCAUUUGAGCUUGAUCAAAGGCAUAACCGGUCCCUCUCACAGCUAGCACCUAGAACCGCAGCAGCCAGUCCACUAACACAAGCAGAAUUGUGUUGUACUGUUGUUCGGAUGCACUGCUGAUUCCGAAAGGCAAUGGACAAUUCAACAUCUUUAAACAAUCGAAAAGCCACACAAUGAGUUGCUGAAUACAGGUUGUGUUCUCUAUCAACUAAUGCGAAUAUGCAAUGGCAAAUCCAAAUGUUUCAGAUUGGACUUCAUUGGUAGGAUACGGAUCAAGCAUUUCUUACAUAUACAUCCACAAAAUAAAGGAUUUCUUAUAUAGCAGAAUACUACCUACUUACGAAUUUCAUGUCACAAGCACCUAAGACUUCAAUCACCACAGUACCACACGCAGAUAACGAAGCAUUCAAUCAGACAAGCAACAAAAGAGCAUAAAGGUAGCAACAUCUAACUGUAGUUUAUAAAUCGCUUAAGAUUUCAUUGGCGCGAGAAUAUAAAUCAUGAUCCAUCACAGGCAGACCAAAACACUUCAGAAUUUAGGGCAAAACAGAUAGGUUCAAGACUAAAUUGCCACAACAGCAACCACUGAUCUAAAACAAGUUUGACAUAGUAGCAUGAUAACGACGAGAGGAGAUACGCGAUCAAGAGGCAACCACUGCAACCCGGCCGUGCGCCUAGACGCGGUCGCGGCGGGGACCGCCGAACUGCUGGCGGCCGCCGUAGGCGGGGGCGUUGGUGUUCUCGGGCUGGCGCUCGACGCCGGGGAGGUCGGCCAUGCCGAGGGCGGCGAGCAUCUCCAUGGUCUCCUUGUCGACGCGGAUCGCGUCGACCUCGAGCGCCGACUUCUCCGGGACGAAGUCCAUGCGGCGCUCGCGCUCCUCCUCCUGGAGCUUGAGCGAGAUGCCGCGGACGGGGCCACGCUGGAUGCGGCGCAUCAGGUGGGUGGUGAAGCCGGCCACCUUGUUGCGGAGGCGCUUCGAGGGCAGGAUGGAGACCUCCUCCAGCACCUUCUUGUUGGUGUGGAAGUCGAGGGUCAUGCGGGAGUAGUACUUCUCGAUCACCUGCCUGGAGGUCUUCUUCACGGUCUUGGUGCGGACGCGACCCAUGGC
rnacentral:lncRNA from 1 species